rnacentral:lncRNA from 1 species
ACCACCAAAACUAAAGUCAACACCUAAAUCAAAGCCAAAUCCUCACACUUCCUCGCGGGUGACCACAUAAACAAAAUCGUAUCACCUAUCGACUGUUGCACACCAUAAACCCUCCAACCAAUCAAAACCCCUGAAAAAAUAACUUCAACUUCUCAUUCACAGUUGAACCCAAUUAAACACUCGAACAAUGACUUAUUCCAACACUUUCGAAUUUUACCACCCCUCAACCUCCAGUACGCCAGAGAAGACAUCAUAACGAGCACAAAAACUUGAGAAACAAAAGCGAUAGGCCAGUUAUAUAAAUGAUUUUUUGAACUAGACUUCAAAAACAAAAGCGAUCGACCCACCUAACUUCAUAAACAAAUCAUUAAAAAAAAAACCUCAACUACCGGUCUACCGGAGAAAACACCAAAGUAAGCCCAAAUUUUUUGAACUAGACACUAACUCCCGAUCUCAAAUCAAAACCGAUCGGCCAAUUAUAUAAAUGAUAUUAUAACUAUUAGAUUUUUCUUUGUAGGAAUCGAAACAAUGUCUAUCUAUCUAAAACCAAUACCCAUAGGCAUAGCCCUCAGUAGAUGACACGAGUAUAUUUUAGUGAUAUUGAAUGAUAAACCCGUGAAAUAAAGUUCAAUAUGUAUUUUUCCCCUAAAAAAAUGUAUAUUUUCUAAAGGGUAAUAUGUAUUGGUUAUUGUUAAUGAAUGUCCAAAACGCGUCUUCAAUCUAAAUAUUGAGCCAAAAACUAAUUUUUUAGAACUGGGCAUCAUUUUAGUAAAGCAUCUCAUUGAAUUAAAUUAAUAUGUUGUUCUGAAAUUGGUAUGUUUACUUGGCUAAGUUACCUUUGUUAAUUCUCUUACUUCAAAUCAGUAGACGACAUUUAAAUGCACAAUAUGUAAGCAUCUCAAAUGCACAAUAUGGCAUCUCCAAUGCACUAUAAAAAGGCACAACAUGGUUUUCUAAUCAUAUCAUCAUAAUUCUAUACAAUUCUAUAGAGAGAGAGAGAGAGAGAGAAUGAUGGCAAUUAGGUUUUCAUUAGCUAAUCUUCUGUUCAUGUUCAUCAUUGGUUUUAGUAUUUCAGACCUUACACCAACACCAUCCCCAAACCUUGUCAAGAAAAAACCUCCAUCUCGAUUACCACCACCACCUCCCACCCAUUUUGAGCAUUUUAUGAUGGUCGAUCCAGAGAUGGCCAAAGACAUUUUGCCAAACUGUUAAAUGUAGUAAGGACAUUCAACCUCUACCAACAGAAUUCGUUAUGCAUGGAUUGUGGCCUGCUAACAGAGUUAUAUCUGAUCCACGUGGUUGUUUAGAUAAAACCAACCAAAAGACAAUAGAUAUUGGCAAUGUAGGUGUAUUUAUUUUCUUCGUUCAUUGUUUAUCAUUAUUUUUAUAUGAUUUGAAAAUUAACUUUUUGUUUUGUUUUAUUCAAUCAGUUUCCGUUGGACUUGAAGGAAGAACUUGAUAAAGUGUGGCCGGAUUUAUUAGUUUAUGAAAAGUCUCGACUAAUAAACAUUGCUUUUUGGGAUGAGCAAUGGAAAGCGCAUGGAAGUUGCUCCAAUAUGGAUAUAAUUGAUUUCUUCAAGCUCAGUCUUUCCAUUUAUAAGAAAAUCGGUUCUCUAAAGGAAGUCCUUGGGAAAGAGGGCUAUUCACCCGGUCCUCAAAGCCAUGUAGAAAAACAAAAAAUUGUCGAUAUCAUUAAGAAGCAUACUGAUGGUAAAGCCAGUCCACGGAUUAAAUGUGAAAAACAUGAUGGCAAAACAUAUUUGCAUGAAAUACAAGUAUGUGUCGACAAAACCGAAAACCACAACUAUACUAAUUGCCGUACACCAGAUUUGAUUGACUGUGAAAAGGAUGUAUACUUUCCUUGAUAUCGGGUGUUGUGUUGCUACUCUUCCUAAUAGUUACAUGACCCAUUGUGUGUGCCUUUUAUUAUUUAAAAACCCAUUAUGUAUGCCGUUAAAUAUAAAAUUAAUGAAAUAAACCAUCAAUUUAGUUUCUAAAGUAUUAUUCUCUUCAAUUUUGUCCUUAAACUAUAAAAAUAUAAAAGCUUAAUUACACAUUUAAUCUUUUAACUUAAUUCUUUUUUUUAAAUUGGUCCCUUAAUUAUUAAACAUUUCAAUUUAGUCUUUUAUCUUGUUUCCAUAAUUCAAUUUGGUCCUAUUUCAUUAGAUCUAACCUCUUAAAAAAUGAGACCUAUUAGAUCUAACCGUGUAUCACCGACACCUAAUCAUCUACAUCUACAUCUUCAUCUUCAUAACCUUCGUCAAUCUUCAUUAUCUUCAACUUUUUUUUUUCUUUCAAAAAUUCAUCAUUUCAAAUUUAACAAAAACAACAUAAUCAAUUCUAAUUGUGAAAGUUAAGAAAACAAAUGACACUUGUUCUUCGGAUGCUCCAAUGUAGAGGAAGUAUAAUGAGAGAUUGGUCUUCGGUAAAAUAUGAAUUAAGUUGACUUUAAGUGUGGUGUAUGAUACAAAAUUAAUAUCGCCAAAUGACUUUCUGGAUAGAUUAAUGUUGGAUAAUUCAUAGAAAAGUCUCAACUGAGAUUUGUGAUUUGUGGGGUUGGUUUUAAAGGAUGAGAUUAUGGGAGUGACAGAUUUGAACGAGGAGAAAUUUCUUAACAGAAUUGGGAAGAAGGAGAAAUUAUCAUUCUCGAUUAAUUAGUUUUUUAUCUUUAGGAAUGACUGCAACUCUGCAACUAAUUGCAAUGCAUGUAUUAUCAUGGGAAUGAGUAUAUUUUAGUUUUUAUACAAGCGUAAUAGUCAAUGAUUUGACCCAAGAACUUUAUUAGAUAUUUUAUUGAACGUCCAGAUACAAGUUCUACAACAUUUUAUUGUACAUACAAGUUCUACAACAUUUUAUUGAGCGUUUUGCAGCACGGUGGCGAGAUCAUGCGUAGGCACCUGAGUGACAGAUGACAAAUGUCUGGGAACAUCAUGUACAUAGAAAAGCUGCCUCUUUACCCGCUCAGGUAAAUGACGGUACCCCCUCUCCUUCCCGCACAUCAGUCAUCCUGAGUAAGUGACAAUAAGCUGAAAAGGGCGUAUCUCUCUAUGAUCACCAUAAGUAGAAAACCUUACGUCAUCCACCUCUAAGCGAUCAAGCCGUUAGCGGUAAUGGUGCACAUCUUUAUGCUCUUUGGAUGUAAGCCAUCUCCCAGCACAUGGUCUCUCCGACGUCCACUCAUUGUUUUUCUUCCUUGGGUACAGACCUGGCAAAUGCUCCAAAAUCCAUCCCUGCAACAAAUAAAUAAAAUACAUUAUAAAAGCUUCACAAAAAAAUUUAAAUUAAAUCCUAAAUAAAUGCAGUCGAACUUAGGAAAAAAUAAUCUAACAUGAUAAUAAAAAUUAUAAAAUAAAUUCAUAAAGAAAUGAAAAUAAAUAUUAAAUUAUUACCAUAAAAAGAGUUGUACUCCCAGCCAUCGUUCUAUUAUUCAGAAUAACAGAAUCAUCUAGAUAGUCGUACAGGUACGCUAAGGCCAUCCCUCCCCAUGACCACUUCCCAAUCGCCUGCAAGUCCGCCAUACAAUCAAGAUAUAUCAAGUCGAUGUGUCUGUUCGUUUUGUUAGUGAACAGCGCACAACCGACGAGAUAUAAAAGAAAACUCCUCACACACCACUGUCUCCUCCUGGCUCUCUCCUGCAGCUCCUCCCUCGUCUGUGGGUCCUCCAGCCGUCUAGCCUCUGUCAGGUGGCCUUCAUAAACCCGCUUUAGUGUGGGAUAAUUGAUAUGAACAGCAGACUCAGUCAUAGUCUCAGCCCUAGCAUCAGCAUCUGACAUGCCCAACAACCUGGUCAUCAAAUCAAUCGCACGCUCCUGACCCAUUGCCUCAUCAUGGUCCAGCAUGCGGCCGUGAAUAGGAAUGUGUAGGAGAUGAUGCACAUCGUCCAAAGUGAUCGUCAUAUCCCCCACAAGUAGAUGAAAACUGCUCGUCUCCGUGUGCCACCUCUCGCACAUAGCACGUAUCAUGGCAUGGGUCACGGUAGAAUGCCCCGUGUAUAUCAAAUCAUGUAGGCCAGACCCCUCCAUAGGCUCCCAAAACCACCUCAAACCCGCCUCGGCUUACCAAACUCUUUCAUCUUUUUUCCUGCAUUUAUACACUUGUAACCCGUCUGAUCAUGCCACAUCUGAAAUUCAAAUUAAUUAAGACAUUGUCACUAUUUUAUAUAAUUAAAACACUUACGCUACAUAAUAUUAUAUAAUUAAAACACUAACGAUACAUUCUUUUAAAUAGUUAAAACACUUACACUACAUAAUAUUAAAUAAUUAAAACACUUACGCUGCAUAAUAUUAUAAUAAAACACUUACGCUACAUUCUUUUAAAUAAUUAAAACAUGGCUUAAUUACUCUUUUGGUCCCUUAACUUAUUUUUUGGUUUCGUUUUGGUCCCUUAACUAUUAAAAGUUUCGUUUUGGUCCCUUAACUUAUUUUUUGGUUUCGUUUUGGUCCCUUAUCCUAACAUAAAGGACCAAAGUGGUUGACGGAGGAAGAGUUAAGGGACCAAAAUGAAAUUUUUAAUAGUUAAGGGACCAAAACGAAAUUUUUAAUAGUUAAGGGACCAAAACGAAACCAAAAAAUAAGUUAAGGACCAAAAGAGUAAUUAAACCUUAAAACAUUUACGCUACAUUAUUUUAAAUAAUCACUUUAAAGCAUUUAAAGAAUUUUAAAUAAUGUAAACACUUACAUUAUGAUGGUUCACCCAAAGAGGGUUCGCCAUGUGCCUCGCGUAGUCGGACAACAGUGACGUGGUCUCAGGUCCUCCAGGAUAGGGAGGCUCUCCAACAUGAUAUGGCGGUAUCGGUGGAACACGACGACGUCGUCGCUGAGUCUGAGGCUCAGGUUCACCCUCAGGAAUAACAUUCUCUGCCUCCAUAUAAUCUGCCACAACAUCCUCUGGCACCUCCUCAUCAUCCUCUGCCUCGUCCUGUGGCUGAUAAAACAUUCGAUCCUCCUCCAUCUGAUCAUAUCCCUGAAAUCCAUCCACAUACUCAUACGUCUGUGUCGGAUCAACCACCUGGGAGGAGUAAUCCAUAUGUGGUUGUGAGCUCUCUACACCUGGCCUCGCGUCCCUCCGCUUCCGAGCCUUCGGGACAUACGGGUUUUGAUCCACCUUUUCUCUUCGAGCGCUAGCGGUACUCGCCGCUUUGCCUUUGCGCAUCCUAUCCUCUCUAAUAACCUGCUGCCGCUCCUCCUCGUCCCUAGCCAUAUCUGUUCAAAACAAAUUUAAAAAAACACAAUGACGUGGAGAAUGUAUUUAAGCAUUUCCUUAAAAACUAUAUACUUUUAAGGCAUUUAACAUAGCAUAAAAAUCCAACCAAGUAACAUGUAACAUAUAAAAAAUGAUUCAAAAAAAAAAAAAAUACAAAUCCACACUUAGAAUCCAAGCUUAUAAUAUACCACAUUUAUAUUACAUACCACAUUAUGUCAUUCUUCAAACUUGCCAAAAAAUUAAAAAAUCCAAGCUUAUAAUAAUUAUAACAUAUAUACUUUAUAAAAUUGAAGAUAUUUGAAAAAAAAUUACACAAAAAAAGCAAGAUUUCCUCACUUAUGCAUUUUAUCAAACACCUUAUGUGCAUUCUAAAUUAGGAGCAUAAUUAGUGUUAUUUGAACAUCUAAAGGGCUACAUUGUACCUACAUUGUCUCUAAACAACAAUUACAUCAUAAACAAUCCAUCAAAGCAUCUAAAUCAUGCUUAAUUUUCAAUUUUCUAACCUAACAUAAAACUACCUAAAACUAACAUUUUGCUCAAAUUUAUGAAAACUAACACCCUAAACAAACUACAUUACAUGUAAAUAGAAAGGAAAGAAGCCUAGUAAAUAAAAAGAAAGGAAAGAACUUACUUGUGAAUUAAUUGAUGAAAUUUGGCGCAAAUUCGUGAAGUACAAGUUUGGAGAAAUUUGGAAGUUGUGAUUUUAGUGUUAGUGUUUCUGGAAAAUGGAAAAAUGAGGGUCUGUUCUUGUUUAUUCACAUAACUCAGCGGUUGUUAACUACUGUUGAGUUCCAGCGGCAGUUAACUGCCGGCGGUUUGGAGAACGGUAGUUAACUACCGCUGGGGGUAUUUAAAUAUUUUACUUGUGUUAAUAGGAAGGUUUCAUUGUCAAAAAGCAAUCUCCAACUUGCAGUUGUAGCUCCACAAAAAUCACAUCAAAAGACCAUUGGGAAGUGAGAAACAUGAUGCAAACUCCAAUCCAAGCACUCACUAAGUCUCAAAAAGUGAAGGAUCAUAAUGUAAUAAUAGUUUAGAUCAUGGGCUAAUACCUUUAAGUGGUUAUUCUAAGCUUUCAUUAGUAGCUCAUUAGGAUUCUAAAUGAGUUGUAGCUUACUAAAUUAAUUAUUGGGAGCAUAUAGGGGACCUAUAUAUCGUGAGAAUAAGUUUUUGUAAAGAUCAAAUGCAACUCUGUACCCAAAAAAAAAAGAGAAUCAAAUGCAACCUCUUUUUCCUAGCCGCAUGGCGGUCUCACCUUCCAUAUGAUUCAAGCUAUUAUGUCAAACCUACCUUGCUGAAUAAAGAUAAUAGUAGCAGAAAAAAUGAAGGAAAACCUAAUGAUCAUGGUAGAUUUUGGUGGAACAUACCGAAAUCAAAUAAUUUUCCAGAACGGAUGGGGCAUGUUAGUCAAGUAGAGAAAAUUUAGUAGCUAUUGAUUAUUUUUUCCGGUUGUGGUGCGCCACAAUCAUGUGUAAUAAAUUUGGUAUGCAUUGUUUUUCUCUGUAAUAGAUACAUAUUUCAUACUUUGGGUGAAGUGAAUGUUAUCAAGCUCCAUUGGUUUUUGAUGAUUGUGUCACUCUUUUAUCUUUUAAUGCGCUAUUAUGUCAUGCCUACAUGUAUUGAAUUUCGAUCGGGUAGCUAUUAUGUUAAACCUAGGCGUGACAAAAUGGAUGGAUUAGAUGGAUAUGGAUUUGGAUCGUAAUGGGUGGAUCAAAAAAGGUUCAUUAGUCCAUUACAAUCCACUUUUUUUUUCUUAAAAAAAAACAUCCCAAUUCCCAUCCAACUAAAAUAAAGUUCAUCCAAUCCAUCCAUUAUUAGAUUUUAAUGAAUGGAUAAUCCAUUUGAUCCAUAAAUCAAAGUGUAUUUUUUUUUUUAAAGUGUAUUAUUUUUUUGAUAGGUGUAUUAUUUAAUAGAAGUGUUUUAUUAGUGAAUUCAAUCUAAAUAAAUUUUAUACAGCAAGACCGAAAAAAUGUAUUAGUGACUCAAACCUACCUUCCUGAAUUGCAAUCUGGUUCAAGGUUCAAGCUAAUACUGUGAGCAUUGAUAUGUCGACCACACAUAGUGGGAAAAUGUUUGGUUAUUGUUGUUGUAUUGAUUUGCGACAGCACCAUCAUACAUUGAAAUUGAUUAGCCGUAUUUGUAUAGUCUCUCAUAUCAAUCUUUUUUACUAAAGCUUGUAUGGUCAAGCAAUCAUACUUAUAUCUAAUCUUUGUUAACAUUGCUAAUGAAAUUGCAAACCCUAAACCUAAAUGGUUUUGGCUCCAAAACAAGGGAGGCCGUUGGAUCUCAUCAUUUGGCUAAGCAUGCAUCUCAUCCUUUGAUCUAAUCUGAGUCAAAUUUUUAAAUUUGAUGUAUAUUUCCUAUGCAUUUAUCCAAGUUUUGACUCAUUAAUUAUCCUCCAAUUCCCAAAUUGACUCCACACUUAUCGAUGUCCACCUCUUUCUCCUUCAUUUUUAAGUUCUCUUCUCUCCUCUCCCAUUAUUCCUUCUUUAUGUGUUGGAAUUCAGAUUGCUUUUACUCAAAAAAAUUUCUUCGCCCUUUGAGUUGUUCAUCUUCCACCUCACUCUCAGACAUUCAAACAAAAUUCUCUGCCGUUGCCGCUCUCUCCGUCGCCGCAGCUCUCUCCUGUCGUCGCCCUUCACCAAUGCUCUCGAUUUCGACAUCACCUUCGUCGUUGUCGUCUGCAGCAUCGUAUCAGCCAAGUGUGUUGAAGAUGCUACUAUAUAUAUCCUAAAUCGUUGUUCCUGUAACUUUUCCCUAACUUUGUUAUUCCAUUACAUUUUUGGUUUGUUUGUAAGUGAAUUGAUGAUAUUUAAAUAGAUUUUACCAUCAUGUAUUAUGCUGUUAAUAAAUUGAUUGAUACUUUAAAAUCAUAUGUGUAUUUUUUUUUUCAAACACACCAAUAUGUCCAUUGAUGCUGACCUUUAAUGAUUGUGCUUUCCACUUCGCUCUGUGUUUAUAAAUUGAAAAUAUGAUUGCGAAGUAUAUUUAGUUAUUCAACAUUCCUUACGUUCAAUUCCUUUAUCUUGCGCGGGUUCUGCUGUCAUUUUGGGAGCUUUUCUGGUGGUGCUGUGCAGGUUUUGGUGGUUUCAGGGUGCUGUCAUGGUGCUGUUGGCAGUUUAGUUGUUGGUUUCAGCUGCUGGCUGGCAUCUAUAGGGUUAGCGGUUGCAGCUGUUUGGAUCUAUAGCUUUGUGUUUUGCAAUGACUAUAAACAAAAGUCUGGGACAAUCACUUAAGCAAGUUGGCAUCUAUCCUCCACAGUCGGUCGUCUCACAUGGGCAGCUAUAUGUUGCAAUAUCACGUGUUACAUCAAGGGAUGGUCUGAAGAAAUUAUUAACGGAUGACAAUGGGGAUUGUAUCAGCACCACUUCAAAUGUAGUUUAUAAGGAGAUAUUCGAAAAUCUGUGACCCAAUAUUUUGUAUGCCCUUAAAUACUUUUUAUGUUUAUUUAUUUUAUUUUUUAUGUAAUGAAUAAUAUCGGAACUUUUUUAGCUUCUCCAUUUUUAAUGUCCCGGGCGUUAGCACGGGUAAUAAUCCUAGUAUUAUUAUACCCUAAUUUUAACCUAAUAUUUUCCCUCCAUCAUCAAAACAUUAAAUUCUCCUUAGUGCUUUUCCUAAUCAUCACUCAAGGUUCAAAAUCCAAAUUUCCCUCUCACACCACUUUUAGUCUGCCGAUGCAUGUACCCAAGGCAUAAGGAAAAUGGCAUAAGGAAAAUGACAUUUAAUAGCUACUACACUCAUUUCUCUGUUUCCAAGCUGCAUAUUCGUGUUAUCUAUGCAGCUUUUAAUCCACUCUCUUUUCCAUGUGUUAUAUAUGUACGUGUUUUGUUAAAUUUACACUCCAACUUUAUCAAUCAAGGUCGAUGCAUGUACAUGUAUGGCAUUUACUACCAUUCCCACUCCACUAUCUAUUCCCAACAUAUCUCUUAUAUCUUCCAUGUAAAUUAAUAUCCACCCUAUUUUCCAUGAAUAUAUGCAGUGCACUACAUGUUCUCUAUACAUACGUGUGUUGUUCUAAGAACUUCAUUUGCCUUUACCCUUCACACUUCACAUCUGUCACAUAUCUAUUACAAUCAUGGCUGAUUGGACAUAUAUUGAGGAGCUGAAGCCGGUUCUUUGUAGAAUACUUACAAAUCCAAUAGCAAAUGAGAGCUUCCUGUAAAAAAAAAAAAGUUUGGUUCUACAUUGUUUUGUGUUCUGUUUUUUCUGUUUCAACAUUAAUUGUUCUUUUUAACAUGAAUCUUUUUAUUGUUAAGAAGAACAUUCUAAUUGUUUUUUGAUCAAUUAUUUUAGAUUAGACCUAUUUCUCAUGUAUUUUUAUUCUUAAGAAGAAAUUCUAAUUGGUUUUUGAUUACUUUUCUUUAUCUUUCAAAUAGAAAUAAUACAAAGACUGGAAAAUAUUGAACCUGAUUUUAAUUGACUCCUCUUAUUUAUUGUUCUACCAUUCUACAUAAAAGGAACAGAGCUGAGAGCCAAAAUAAAAGUAUUAACACCUUGGGUUUAGUUUGUUUAUCAAUCUAGGGAUUUUCGUAUUGGGGUAAUUUUUUUUCCAGUGAUAAUUCAGUAGCAAUCUUAGUUUUGCAAAUGAUAAUUAUGAUAAAAGGGGUUGCAGGCACACAUUGAAGCAGUGCUAAGUUCACCACCAAGUUUACUUUCAAAAUUUUAAUUUUAGUUUGUUAUUUGCUAACGGUGUAUGUAAUUUUGGAAAGGCUUUGUUACUUUGCUGGCGUCAUGUGACAUGAUAUACUUUAUUACAAUCAGUUUUAGUUUUCUAUUUAGUAACUUAAGCACUUGAGCAGGGUUUAAUUUAGAUUUUUUGAGACAUAAAAGUGCUGAAAUUGAUUUGGACAAAUUGGAUUUGUAAUAUCUUACACAUUAUAGUAUUUUUGGUCCUUCAACUAUUCGUAUAUAUCAAAUAAAUAAUGCAAUUUAUUUUGUUAAGUUGAAGGGAAAUAUCCAAAUACAUAUAAUUUUUUUUAUAAUAAUGCAUAUUUGUAGCAAUGAAAUACUAUUGCUCCUCUCCAAAUUAAUUGAUUACAAAUAUCUAUGAUUCAUAUUCUCUAUAAAGGACUAAACUACCUAUACAUGUUUUGAUUAGAUUAGUUUUAUAGAGUGUAACUUUACACACUUUAUAUUAUUUUGGCAUAAGCAAGAUUGUGCACGGGUUAAUUUAAAAAGGGACAAUUUAUGAUAGAUAAUAUUGAUACUGAGUAUUUGGAAGAAUUUUUCUACUAUUAUAAAUCAUUAAUUAGUUUUAUCUCUAUAUGGUUUGUAUAAUUUUUGUGUCUAUGUUUUUAAUUAAUAUUGGUUGAUUUACAUAUACCUAAAUAUAAAAAAUUUAUAUUAAAUUUGUGCGUCACACGGGUCGGCGAUCUAAUUCUUGUUAUUCUCAUUGUGCACCUAGUGUAGCUGCGAACCUUAAUUUUAUUUUAUUUUUUGAGGGAGCUGCGAACCCUGAUUGAAUUCCUGCUUUUGUGCUGUUUGUUUUUAUUUUUAAAUCUCUGAGAAGAGUUCUAAACUUUUAAUCGAAUCUUUUUUCUUUGUGUUGCAUCCUGUGUGCUUUGAUUGACCUGUUGGGGCCAUUGACAUCAUAGACAGUGUACUAGAGUUGUUUUCUCCUCUUAAUUUGGUUCACCUCAUUUGUUUAAGAGGAUUUCUUUUUUCAUCUUCUAAAUCUGGGUUUUUUCUCACUUGAUUUAGUGCAGCUAUUAUGAACAAGAAAAAAAAAAAAAUCCCUUUUGGUAUAUAAAAGGUAGUUUUUUCCUUAAAAAAAAAAAGUAGCUUUGUUGCUUUCAUAAUACUUAAAAAUUGAGUAAAGACGUUGUAUCAUUGUCAUUAAUUUGUUUAGUUCCUCUCUAUUUAAUUGGUUGACCAACAGGGGCGGAUCUAGACAUUUCAUAUUAGUGUGGCAAAUUUUUUAAAGAAACUAUAAUACAAUUAUACUAAAAUUAAUAUAUAACAUUUUUUUACGGCAAAUAUUAUUCAUCGUCGAGAGGAUGUAAGACGCACCCACAACUCGCGGAAAAAACGACAGAAAAUACAAAAGUGACCGUAUAUAGGCGGCACACUUAAACACCAAAACCACUCGGUCAUGAUGCCGGAAUAUACAACAAGCAAAAUGUCAGCAUAAGUAUACCCCUGCAUCACAACCGAGCUCACCACCUAGCUGCACCAAAACAAAAUUUUGCAAGCAGAACCAAAACAACACUUAACAGCCCCUACCUAAACAGAACUAAAAAACAACACCUGCAACAAUGAAAAUUGUGAAAUUGUGAAACAACACAGGGAAGAAUUUCUUCAUCCUAUAAACACCAUUUUACAAUAAUCAAUUAUCAUAAACAAGCAAUUUUUAACUUGUAUUAUUAAUAAAACAAAACAAACAAAGCCAUAAAACUCGGCACCGACAGUAGCAAAAUAAACAAAGAAAAUGAUGAAUUGUUAAACUAGCAGAUACAGGUUGAAAUCACAGUUCACAUCACCCUAAAUUGAAUAUUGGAUGCAAGAGUAAUCAGUAAAAAACAUAUAAAUAAAAGGACUCAUAUACCUAAUUUCUUAAAAAUUUGGAUGACAAUGUGCUGCCUUAUCCAACCCAAUUUAGCCCCCCCCCGACCCCAAAAAAAAAAAAAAAUUCUUAACAAUAUGAUGAACUACUUUGUUAUCUUAAAAUUUAGUUUUUUUUUUUUUUAUGUCAUUCUCAUUACAUUUUUCUAUUUAAUCUCCAUCGUUUCAUAAUACAUCCUUUUUAGACAUUUUAAAAUGACAUGAGGGUUUUUAAUUUAGUCUAAUAUUUCGGUAAAAUAAUUACUCAAAUAUAUUCAACUUAUCAACAAACCCAUAAAUUCUUUUGUCGUCUUUUUUCUUUUUUUAAUUUCCUUUCUAUCUUCUCGUUAAAGAAAUGAACAAAAACCUCAUUUCAAAAAAUCAUCAGCCAACAAUUUUUAGCAUGUUGUGCUUCUGUAUGAUCUUAUUUGAAUAUGUCUCUAAAUCACAAAUGCAAAGAAUCUCAUACUUAAGGAGAGAUGUUAAUGUGUUAUAUGUGAGUUAAACUUCUAUAUCGGAUGCAAAAGUAGAUAUUGAGCAAGAUAAUUGAUAUAUCUAAUGCCUUAAGAUUUUGGAUGAAGAUGUGGUGUCAAUCUCACUUGUAUAAUUUCUCUUCGUCAAAUGUGAUGAUCCAACCUAUUGUAGGCUCCCUAAUAACUAUGAACAUUACGAUUAUAUGUUUUUUUUAUGUCAUUUUCUUAAAAAAAAAUAUAUUGAAUAUAACUUUAUUUAUGUCGUUCGAUUUUUUGGAUUUUUUUAAAUACUUUUACUUUUGCUCUUUGGUGGAAUUUGUCACUGGAAAAAUAUGUGUUAUGGAGAGUUGACAAAGUGCAUGUCUAUUACACAUUUUAACAUGAUGUGGUGUUUUUUUAUUGAGUCUAUUUUUCAGUGAAAUAAUUACUCAUAAAUUUCUAACUCAUUCAACUAACACAUAAUAUUACCACUAACUCACUCUACUCUUAAUACUUCCAUGGACAAAAUAUAUAUUGUUUUUUCUAUUAUCAUUUCUCUCUCAAUUUUUUUUUCUUCUUCAUAUCAUGAUGUGGUGUCAACGCGAAGGAAAAUAGUAACCAAUAUCAAAGUAACCACAAGAAACAACAACAAUAACAAAUCUAAAUCUAAUAUAGAAAUUAAGUGAAAAACACAAAACCACAAGCAAAAGAUAGAAGAGAAACAAACACACCAAAAAAUGUUUAUCCAUUUCGGUCCAACUUCACCUACUUUGGGGGAGAUAUUGAUCUCUCCAAUCCACUGUCAAUGAGUUCUUACAAAGAGAUACAAAAUGGUUACAAGAAAUUAGCUUCAACAAGCUCACAAAAACAAACACUAAUUUCUAUCAUUUUCCCAAACUCACUAAUCAACAAGACACUCAGUGAUUUUUACUCACCCAAAGUGUUUACAAAUGUUUCCCAAAUCAAGAGAACCUCUAAAAAAUAACCUAAUCAAAGACUUUCAACCCUAAAGUUAUCUCCUUUGAUUUCUCAAGUUUCUCUCUCUUGAAGCCUCUCUCCAAACAAUAAGAAUGAAGCCUUUUAUAGAGUUUUGAUCUUGAGAAAUCGUGCUCCGAUGACUCCAAAUCGGGCCACGAUUUUUGUCCAACCUUCAUUCAUAAGUUUUGAGACAAUUCUCAACAUAAUUCAAUCAUUUCUUAGGGGAGGGAAGUAAUUCAGCCGAGGUAUUUACUUUUCAAGUAUGAAUAUAUAUAUUUUAACAAGAGAGGGAAUGAAAAUAUAAUACAAACUUCUUUUAAGAGGGAAAUGCACUUCAGUAUUUUUUUUUCUUACCUACCAAUUGUUUGGAUAAAUAGAUCCUGAUAAUUUGUAGUUCGGUCCAGAUGUACCUAAAUUCUGGAGUGUAGUUUACUCUAGAUUAAUUAGAUGAUUUUUUUUCUUUAAAUAAAGGCUUAAAUGCUCUUUUGAUCCAUUAACUAUUUAAUUGGCAUCGCUUUGGUCCCUUAACUAAGAAAAAGAUUGUUCGAGUACUUUAAGUUUUUUUUUUAAUCUCGUUUUGGUCCCUUCUAUUAGAUUUCCGUUAGGGUUUAAAAAAAAGAAAGUUAACUUCUAGACACGUGUCACCUUGUCAUUGGCUCUGGGAAUUUUUUACAAAAAAAUAAAAUAUAUACAUUAAAAAAUAUUUAUUUUUUUAUAAAAAAAAUUCUCAGAGCCAAUGACAAGGUGACACGUGUCAACGCUUAACAUUUUUUAUUAAACCUAACGGAAACCUAACAGAAGGGACCAAAACGAGACUAAAAAAAAACUUAAAAUACUCAAACAAUCUUAUUUUAGUUAAGGAACCAAAGCGAUACCAAUUAAAUACUUAAGGGAACAAAAGAGAAUUUAAGCCUUAAAUAAAUCAUUCAUUUGACAAAAACAAACUACAUACUCCAAAAGAAGCCUUUAAGGGAACUUAUUAAUUUUUGUAAAAAAAAAAAAGUUAUUACUCUCCGUUUCAAAAUACAUGUCAAGUCAAUCAUUUCACAACAAUUUUGACCGUUAAUAUCUUUAAUUAUAUAAAGUAAAAAAUUAUAAAAAUUUAAUAUUUUGAAAAUAUUUUUCGAGACAAAUCAAACAACAUCUUACAUGCUAAUAUUUGUAUUUAUACAUUAGUUAAAAAGUAAGUUAAGUGAAUAGUGCACGUUGCAAAAAUUGAACAUGUAUUUUGAAACGGAGGGAGUAAAAAUUUAGAAAAAGUAUCGGGAAUUUUAUUAAAUUAUAAGAAUAUUUCAAUGACAAAAUCCUUUUCUCACGGAAAGAGAUAAAAUUAUGUAUAGUCAGAUUUAUCUAUACUAUAUAUAAAGAAAAUAGGGGGUUUUUAGAGAUUUUGAGCUGACUUAUUUGUUAUUCGAAUUAUACUCUUAAACAAAAUUUUCUAUAAUAAUAUUAUAUUGCUGAUGUUAUUAAAAUAGAUAAGAAUUUUUGUUAUAUUUGUUAUAUUGUUGUUGUCAUUGAAAAAUAAAAAUAUGAUUUGUUGAGAUUAUUACAUUUGAAAGUCACAAAUAUAUAUACUUAUAAUCUUAAUCUAUAUCAAAUAAUUUGUGUAAAACAUCGUUUGUAAUUUACACACAAAAUUUCUAUAAAGUAUUGUUGAUAAUCUACACGCGUACAAUAAAAAACGAAAAGACAGACACGUGAGUGUCCGUCUUUUUCGCUAGUUUGAAUAAAGAAUAUCUUGCAAUAACUUUUUUUUUUAUUAAUUCUUGCAAUAACUUUUUUUCAGUAAUUCUUGCUGUUACUUCUCGGUUAUAUUCUUUACGGAUAAUUUUCAUCAAAGUUAGCAAAUAAUCUUUUAUCCUUUAAGAAAACAAAUAAUCUUUUAUGGUUUUAUUUUUAAAUUAAUUUCUUUUACCGAAAAAUUAAUUUAGUUAUAAUUUUGAUAAAGAAUAUGUAACUUUUGCUUCUCAAUCAAGGUUUUUAUGGAUACCUUUCAUCUAAGUUAACAAAUAAUCUUUUAUGGCAUUAUUUAUUAAGUAAUUUAGUUUAUUUUGACGGAAUAAAUAGUUAAGUUAGAUAUAAUUUAGAUAAAGAAUAUUUUAUUUGAAUAUAGAAUAUCUUGCAAUAACUUUUUUUAUUGAAUCUUUGCAAUUACUUCUCAGAUAAGUUUUUAUGGAUAAUUUUAAUCAAAGUCAACAAAUAAUCUUUUAUCCUUUAAAAAAAGCAAAUAAUCUUUUAUGCUUUUAUAUUUUAAUUAAUUUCUUUUACCAAAAAAUUAAUUUAGUUAUAAUUUUGAUAAAGAAUAUGUAACUUUUGCUUCUCGAUUAAGGUUCUUAUGGAUACAUUUCAUCUAAGUUAACAAAUAAUCUUUUAUGGUAUUAUUUAUUAGGUAAUUUAGUUUAUUUUGACGGAACAGUUAAUUUAGAUAUAAUUUAGAUAAAGAAUAUUUUAUGGUUGCUUCUCGGUUAAGUUUUUUAUGGAUACUUUUCAUCUAAGUUAACAAAUAAUAUUUCAAUUCAAAAACAUAUAAUAUUUUAUAGUAUUAAAAUCAAGCACUAAUAAAACAUGUUUUUGCCUAUAUAUGCGAUAUUCAUCUUUCGCUUCUCUUAAAAGUUUUUAAUUUUGCCAUCUCCUCGACUUUGCUUGAAUUCCUCAUUUUCACUCUCACACUUCUUGCUCCGAUCAUAAAAAUCUCCUUGCCCGCUGUUUACACAAUUUCAGUCAAACAUGGGAAAACCCAUGAAUAUGAAGCAUGGAAAGGUUAGGACCCACAUACCUCAUGAUCUUGCAUUAUGCAUUCUGUCAAAAUUACCUGUAAAAUCUUUAAAGAAAUUUGGAUGCGUACGCAAAUCAUGAACCCUUUUGUUUGAGAACCAACAUUUCAUGAACAUCUUUUGCAACAAUUUCAUAUCUCAUAAUCAUUCUUACUACAAUGAUACAUCUAUCAUUCUACAAUCCAGUAAUAGAGAUUUUUAUUCCCUUUCUGGUGAUAAGUGUGAGAAUAUGGUCAAAUUAAAUUUUCAAAAUCCUUUUCAGGAGGAUGACCCUUUAGGUUUUGUUUUGGAUUCUGGUAGUAUUACUGGAAUUCUUUGCGUCUACCAAUAUCAUAAUGGAAAAACUGCCUUUUGGAACCCAACACCGGAGGAAUUCAAGAUCAUUCCUCCAAGUCCUUUUCUUUUUAGAUCACCUUAUCAAAAGUUUGUAGUUAAUCCUCUUGGGUUUGGUUAUGAUAUAGUUAGAGAUGAUUAUAAGUUGAUUAGGUGUGUAGGUUAUUUUAACUUAGAAUACGAAGAGUGUGAAGAACUUGGUAUUUCAUGGAGUGAUGCGCCAUGGAAAGAUUUAUCUUAUGAAUACUUAUGGGAGAUAUAUAGCCUUAAAAGUAACACUUGGAGAAAACUUGAUGUUAAUGACUCUGCUUGUUCAUGUUUUUCUAACAUCGCUGGUGUACGACUAUACACGAAUGAAAUGUGUCAUUGGUGGCAAUAUGGUAAAAAGUAUGAUGGAGUAGAGGUGGAAUCAUUUGACUUGAGAAAUGAGGUGUUCUUUACAACACUUGUACCCUUAGGCGAUGUAUAUUCUAAGUCGUUAUACAUGGUGGGGUUAAAUGGCUCCAUUGCCUUCAUCUCAUGGACCUCUGGUACAACUACUUUUGACAUUUCAAUUUUGUGUGAAAUUGGAGUAAAAGAAUCAUGGACUAAACUAUAUAGUAUUGGACCAUUUUCUUGCAUCGAGCAUCCUAUUCCUAUCGGAACAUGGAAGAAUGGUUUUGUAUUUUUCAGGACCAAAGACAAUGAAAUUGUUUUGUAUGAUUUACAAUCCCAGAUGAUAGAAGAGCUUUGCAUUGAAGGAGAGCAUUUUAGUCAUAUAUUACCUUAUAAGAAAAACCUUCUUUCUAUUGGAGGAAUAAAUCAAUAACUUGUUUGUUACCCAAUAUAUUUACGCUUAAGCUUAUUUUUUAAACAGUCCAAGAUUAUACUUCUGGUUAUUAAGAUUUUAGAGUUUUGGACUUACUGUAUGAACUCUAGUUUAUUGUUGUAAUAGCUUAAUUUUGGGCACUUUACAAUUUAAUUGGAAAUGCAUAGUUUUAUUUUGGGAGUUAGAAAUAUAUAGUUGAUAGUUCUGUUAUUUUCUUCUCCUCAAAAGAAAUAAUAAUUUGGUGAGUAUUAAUUGGACUAGAGGGUGGUUGAUGAAGAUAUUUGAAGUUUCCUUUUUAACCAAAGAUUUUCACACAAUUGAUGGUGUUUAUUGUUAUGAUUCUGGAGAGGAACGUGGUUGAGAUACACUGAAAUAAAGUAUCGAGCAUGACUUAAGUCAAGAGGGCUUACGCCCACCUUAUGUCAUAUUUUUUUUGAAGGAGUCUUAUGUCAUAUUUUUUUUUUUUUUUUUUGGUAGAUAGACGAAAUGACAAAGCCAUUAUAAACUCACACACACAAGUGGAGGUAUCGGGGUUCGAACCCCGGUCAUGGCAUCCGGCCUAACAAUUUCGGUAUUUUGCCAGUUGAGCUAGGACUUCUGGAUGCCUUAUGUCAUAUUUUAUUAAGCUAUCACUGUGAUUCUCAUGUGCAAUAGCAUAUGUUGUGUAACAUUGAGAUGAUUAUAUAAAAAAAAAAAAUACGAAUUCCUUCAAAAUAUAUAUAUAAAAAAAAAAAAAACAAUUAAAUUGUAAAAUUAUUAUUUUUUUAGUCAAACAUUGUAAAAUAUUUAAAAGUAUUAAAUAAAAAUGAUCAAACGCAAUGUUGAUAUCGAAAAGGAAAGAACUUAUUGAGCAUAAUAGCUUAUAACUUAAUCGCUAAUGCUAUAAGCUCUUUACAUCAUAAGCAUUUGUGUAAGGUGGUGUAUAUGCAAACGGGCCAAAAUCCCAUUUUCUUUGGCGGGAGACAUGGAAGAAAAUGACCGGAACGAAGAAUCCGAUUCUGAUAAUACAGCCACUAUGACUAUGAGUACAAUUUCUCAGCACAAUUUCAACGACGACUCUGAAACUCUCACUAUUUCCAUUAUCGAGGUCCUCAACUUCCACUUCCCAAAUUCGCAUUUUCUCACGCCGAAAUCUCACACUAACAAACACUCUGAUUUUCCACACAGAAUAUGAGCGAGGAUUACGGCUUAUACGUCUGGCCUUCUGCUGUAAUUCUCGGCGAGUAUAUUUGGCAAGAAAAGCACCGAUUCUCAGGAGCUAACGUUGUUGAGGUGUGUGUGUGUGUGUUUUUUUUUUUUGUUUGAAAUUUGUGAUUAUUUGAAGUUUAUUGUUCAUGCUUUGUAUUUGUUUUCAUAUGUCGCUGUAGCUUGGUGCUGGAACUUGCUUACCUGGUUUGGUUGCGGCAAAAGUUGGUGCCAAUGUCACUCUUACUGAUGACUCCACCAGAUUAGAGGUUUUCUUCUUGUUUAUUUAGUUAGAUAAUUUUGAAAUUAGGAAGUGUUUGGAAAGUCUUGGAGGUUAAUUUAGUUUGUAUAAUCAUCGGUAUUUAAGAUUUAAAGGAUAUGGAACAUAGGUGUAAAUUAGUUUUGCACCGAAUAGAAAUUAUGUUCUCGUAGCUACAUUUUAAAAGUGGUGAUAUGAUAUGACAAAAUAGCAGACUCAUAUUGGAUAUCAGACGUGUAAAACUACUUAACUACACUGGCAGGCAGUGUAUGCUCAUUAAACUCGUGUUCUUGUCUUUCGAUAAAUUUAUAAAAUCACAUAUUCGACAUGUCCAUAAGCUUUAGUAAGGGUUUAAUCAAGGUGUAUGUUUACCAAACAUGUACCGAGUGUAGCUCUGAAUCCAACUGUUUUCUGGGAUUGUCAAUGUGACACAAUGGUUUCAAAGGAUUUAAAGGACAUGCAGUGUCGGUGUAACUAUAAAUUAGUUUUACACUGGUGUCCAGUGAAAAUUCAUUAUUUUACCACAUUACUCUAUUCUUGUAACUACAUUUUAAAAGUGGUGAUGUGUGUGGCAAUAUAGAGCUAUGAAACACCAACACAGACAUUAGACACGGCACUGACACGUUGACACCAAUAGUAAUUUGAAAAAAUGGCAUAAUAGAAUGUAUCAUAUGUGUCGGUGUCGAACACAGACACUUGUUGGACACCGAAAACCCCCUUUAAUCAGAAAUUUCGGUGAUACGCAGAUAUAGAGGGUUCGUAUUGAAUGUCAGAUAAAACUACUUUACACCGUGAGCCCAUUAACUCUAGUACUUAUCUUUCGAAAAAUUUUGUUUAUAAAAUCUCAUGUUUGGUAUGUCCAUAAGCUUUAAUAAGAGUUUAAUUAAGGUGUGUAUGUUUACCAAAGGUGUACUAAGUGUUGCUUUGAAUCCAACUGUUUUCUGGGUGUGUCAAUAUGACACAAUGUUCUUCUAUUUUCGUUAGUAGUAUUUAUCAUUUGAUUAUCUAAUGAGUAGAUUCUGAAAAUUGUAGAUCUUUUAAAUGACUGCUGCUUGUUCUGGACUUGCAGGUGCUUGAUAACAUGAGAAGAGUUUGCGACUUGAAUAAACUUGAGUGCAAUGUAAGUAAUGAAGCCUGUUGAAAAAAUUUGCCUUUUCAUUUUAAUAUUAGAAUUAGAUUAGCACUGUGUCUAUAUAUCAUGGAUUUUCUGAAAAGUGAUUAUUAAACAAUGAUUGAUGUUGAAGUUUUUAUCUGUAUCAUGCUUGUUUGUGUUGUCUGAAUGUAUUGGCUUCUAUUUGAAGGUGCUAGGACUGACAUGGGGAGUUUGGGAUUCGUCCAUAUUUGAUUUACGACCUACAAUUAUUCUAGGCGCUGACGUGUUGUAUGACUCAAAUGGUGAGAGAAGGAUCUGUUUCAGGUCUUUGUACCUUCCUUUUUGGAUUUGAUGUACUAAAUCAUUCUUUCUUUUAUAUUAUUUAGCUUUUGAUGACCUCUUUGCCACUGUGACAUUCCUGCUCCAAAAUUCACCUGGAUCAAUUUUUAUAACUUCAUACCAUAAUAGAAGGUACUUUUCAUUCUCAGUGAUGCUCAAAACUUGUGAAACAACUUUGUCUUUACUUUUCAUUCUGCAUCUUAUAUUUUUUUUUUUUUAAUAUUUUCUUAACUUAGCCAUGUAACCUUUUGCAGUGGGCAUCACCUUAUCGAGUUCUUGAUGCGAAAAUGGGGGUUGAAGUGUCUCAAGCUUCUUGAUGGAUUUUCUAUCCUACCAUCCUUCAAGGCUUCUCAGCUAAGUGGUAACAUUCAAUUGGUGGAGAUAGCUCUAACAUCGAAAGAUAAUGCUUGAGGUACCUCCAAGUUUUAUGAUAAAAUUUAGGAGUGUCUGUAUUUUUAGGCGAUGUUGCUGCUAUUUAUGUUUUUUUGUUGUUGUUUAUCAAGCAAUAGAAUAGGACUUGAUUGUCUUAAAAGAAUACCUCCUAAAAUGGAUAUCGUACUUCCAUGCUAUACAUACAUUUGAUGAAGAAAAAACAUACCUAAUUCCUUUUUAUUUCAUCGUUGCUUGAUGUUAAAACAUGGUAGCAACUACCAAGCAGCAAACUUUUUGGAUGGGGCGGUUUGGCACGCAUUAAGGAGUUUUCUAGCAUUAUGUAUUUCAACUGCUUUAAAAAUUAUAUUUGGGCUUGAUUUGAUUUGCUCUUUGGAAUCACCAGGUAUUUUAUUAUACAGUAACUGAAAAGAUGUUUACAAUGUUGAUAUUUGCUGUGCUAUCAAAUGGUCAUGCUUAAAACCCUUACGACGUUUUUGAAUUGUUUUCAAAUGUUGAGUUUUGCAUUGUUUUUUUAAUGGAUUUUUUUUUUUUUUAAUGGAGUUGAGUUUUGCAUUGUUAACUGUUAUCUCAAAUCAUGGCCUAUGGUAGCAAACAUUUGUUGGCCAUGUUCUUGAAAAGACCGAUAUCUUACUUUUUCCCAUGAAAAAUCGAAAAUCACCACUUUGAGAAGCAGGGCUCGUGGGCUGAACGAAACCUUUUUUGACUUGUUACUUGAGAGUUAAGACUACUUAUAACUAUAUUUCUAAAUUGAUUUGCCAAGACAAGUUUGAAUUUUUAUAACACUGAUAUAAGAAUACAUAUCUCUGCUUCUUAAAAAGCAAAAAAAGAAUACAUAUCUCUAUAAAUGAAAACACACAAUUUUAUUACCAUCUUCAAAAUGUGAUUCACCACUUUUCACACAAUAAUUUGUCUGAAAUAUCAUAAUUAACUUCAACUAAAUUAAGGCUUUUUAAUUGAUCUUUCUGCAGUCCUUCCUAACUUCUUGCCCACCAUUGAUACUACUCAUUUUUAUCAUGGACUUGGCAAAAGCAUCAAAGAAAGCCUUUUGUGAGGCGGCAAACUUAGAAACCAAUUGCUUGGUCUUUGGGCUGUCAAGCAAAGCCUGAUCAGAAGAAAACAAGCCUUUUUGUUGGAGGAUCAACUUGUAAUAUGUAUUAUCGAAAUUUGUUGCAGAAGGGUCCAUAGUGGUGCCAGCAUUUUUGGCCUUAUUUUUCAACGGACAAAUUGAUUUUAGUUUUGCUGCAAAUGAUUGAUGUAACGAAGGGUCCACGUCAUGUGUAGCAUUAAAGUUUUGGAUUCUGUUCUGGAAAGAUGAGCAGUGAGAGAAGCCUAAGGUAUGCCCUCCUACAUAUGGGUCAAAACAUGUUACUUCAAACUCCAUUAAGAUAUAAAUGAAAGCAUGAAAAAUGGUGAAGUUUUGAUGUUUUUUAACUUUAGGAAUAGCUUACCUGACAGAGCUACCAAGUCUUCCACAGACAAUGCUCUUUGUGAGAAGCUUUGCUGCAGCUGUGAUAUGUUGAAUGUUGGUGCUGGUAAUUGUCUUGUUUCACUGGCCUUAGAUGUUCUUCCAUCUUUUCUUCCUUUUGGAACAUUCCAUUUAGGUCCUCCAGACUGUAGAAUAUACAUAGAUGUACCAUCAGUUAUCAGUUGAAACUUACAAAUACAAGUUUCCAUAUCUACAUGUUUCAAUUCUAAAGUAAACAGCAUAACAGAGUCUCAAUGAAAGAGAGCUUUGGUUCUUGGCUUUGUUUUAUUACCAGAUAAACUGCGUCCCUUGCUGCGAGAGCAAGAAUAUCAGCACAAGAAACUACACCAGGGCAUUUAGCUUCUAAUGCUUUCUUUGCUUCAUCAAUGACAUAGAAUGCAUGCAAUGAAAUGUUUGGCGGUCCAUCCUUUUCUGCUUUGUUUUUUCCUUUUGAAUUUAGCAGCACAGAUGCAUCACACCCCUUCAAAAGUAUAGGAAAAAACGACACAUGCAAAUGAAAAAUCAAAUUUAUAGAUGGUGUGCGGGAAAAGGAAACAGAAAAGGAAAAAAACAAUGUCAAGAAGAAAGGAGUUCAAUAUAGCAAUACUCGAACGAAGCAAUCAUGGAAGUGCAUUCGGAGAAGUGCUGCUGGAACAGUUUUGUCCCUAGCAGUAGCAUCCGUCACAGUCUUCAAAACUAUAUACUCCAGAUCAUGGCAUGAUUUUUCAUAGUAGUUUAAGCUGAGUGAUUUUCCUGUAGAAACCACUGAAAAAAUGAUAAUCAAAUUCAAGAAUGUAACCAUGACAGCCAUGUCAAUUAAGAGUACUUUGAUUAUUUUUUAGCUGUUGCUAUCUGUGGAAAUCAAAGAUGAGUUCAAUGGGUUUUUAAAGGGGUAAAAGCUUAAUUAUUAGAUGAGAUAAUGUGGCCCUAGAAGACUAGUUCGUUAACUAGUAUUGUCAAAGAAGUAGUAAUGUUUAAGCAUUCUCAUCACAAACAGACAAUUCACUUUAUGCUCCAAACUAAGGAAGGUUCAAUUGUUCUGGUGUAAAAUGUUACUAUUUUUUUUUUAAGCGAGGUGGAAUUUGACGGCGUAGAGUUUUUACACUCAUUCAGAAUAAAUUAAUUAGAUUAGAUUAGAUGAUACUCUAACUGAAUCUAAUGUUUUAGUAAAACAACAACUAAAUCUAGUGUUAAGCUAUGAUUGCAUGGUCUUCAUGAGUACAAUAAGAAAAGGUCAUUCCCCAUGAUAUAUUAUUAUUAGGAUUCUUUGAUUAUUACAGAUAUUUUUGGCAGUGUCCUAGUGUGAGGAGUGAAUUGUUUUAGUUUACUGUAAGUUUUUAUUUUUAUUUUUAAAGUUUGGUGAUAACAUUUAGUUUUGACCGAAAUUGAGGUUAGUGGCCACGUUCUAUUUAUUCUACUUUUUACAUGGUGCAGGAAAGUAUUAUUGUUAUUUAACUUUAGUUUUUCCAAAGCUUAUAUUUAUUAUUUAAAUUUUUGCAAACAUUUUGAAUGGAGUGGGAGGGGAAUGCUUUGAGAGAAGAGGAGGAGAGAAAAAGAGAGGAAAAUAUUCCACCUUAUUUGAGAGUGUUUUUUUGUGUAGAGAAUGAAAAAAAUGUUAAUGAUUAAUAUAUUUUUAAGUUUAAGAGUAUGAUAAAUGAAAGCAAUCAGGCUCUCUAAAACCUUAAAAAUUUUUACUCUAGUGCAUUUUUUUCGAGUUCCAACAUAUUAAAGAAAUUUUGUAUUACAAAGAAAAAUUAACCUCCUAUUGACGAGACUACUGUUAAUUUUUUUUUUCCUUCUCUCCUUCAUUUUUCACAAAGUCGUUCCCCUCAUUGUUGAGAGAUGGGAAAAGAGCACCCUACUAUUUAACCAAAUCAAGCAAUAUAUUAUGCAUAUACUCAUUGCUUUUACUAGAUACCACCCUCUCCGUUUCAAAAUGAUUUUGUUUAAGGUUUUUAAACUAACCUUAUUUAAUGUUUUGGAAGUAUUGUAUACUCAAUUAAUUAAAAUAUAUUUUGAAGUAAAAUAAUAAUUCUAUCUUAAAAAAUAUAAGUGACAUUUAUUUUAAAACAAUUUUUUUUUGUUAAAGCGAUACUUAUUUAAACGGAGGGAGUAGCAAAGAAUAACGCUCCUCAAAUAUGUAGGAGGAAUGUAUGAGGUGGUUAAGACCGAGCCAUCGUAAUUUUGUUUUGUUGCUGCCAUUGCUUGCAGUCCAAGUCUUUUUAUCAUGUUAUAUCAAAGCUUUAAUUAUUGCAGUUGUUUGUUUUUCUGUUGAUGUAGGUUUCUAGUUAAAAGGAAUCUAAUUAUUGAAAUCCUACUUUAUGUCUGAACAGUUUGGUGAUUUCACAAAAUGUAUACCAUAAUGAAAUUUUCUUCUUCGUUUUAGAUGAAAAGUAGCUAUCGAGUCGGUGCUGUUAUUUGCAAUCAUGUGCUUUUUAGGACCAUUGGGUACUGUUGGUUGACUUGUGAAUUGAAAAUGCAAACAGGUUAGUUGAUUGUGUUUCUGAAUAUGGUCGAUUAAGAUCAGAGAGAUGAUUAUUGGACAUCAAAAUUUUGAUUCAAAUAUGAUUAUUCUUUUAAAUCUUAUGUAAUUUUUUUUAUGUGUAUAAUUUAACAGAGGUAAACACAUCCAUAUACUCUAUCAUGUUCAAGAGUUUGCAAGGAAAGUUAUUUUGAGUUGGGUGAAUGUUCGUGUCAAUUAAAAUUAACUUUUUGUGUUACGAUGAAGGUGAUGAAGUUUGAACUUAGGAUUCGUGUAGGCUAUUCAAAUUAAAUUUAAGUUAUUUGAUUUAAUUUGAUUUAUUUUUUUAAAAUAAAAAAAUAGUUCACUGAGCCACAACAAACACAAAUUUGCAUUUGAAAACUGACAAAUAAAAAAUAAACCAUUAAUUUGGUUCCUUAACUAACACUCCCCAAUUUAGUUUUUGAAUUAUAUAAAUAUAAUAUAUAGUUUCUAAACUAUCUUCAAUCCAUCAACUUAGUCCCUAUAUCAUUAUUGCUCUCUUAUUUUGAAAGCCGACGAGUAAUAUUUCUAUAGUCUUAGGGUUCAAAUUGGUGAGAGAUUAUAGUUUAGAGAUCAAAUUGAUGGUUUUUUCAACAAAUAAAUUAUGUGAUCUAAAUAUAAUAGAGAUCAUAAGAAUCCAAAGACAAAUUAUGUGGUAUAAAACUAUGCUGAUGUGCUUUUACAUUAUUUACAACCCUAUCAAAUCAAAAUGCUAUCAAGACUCCAGGAAAAAAAAAGGUAUAGAAAUAAUGCUUCUCUCUCGUGUAUUCUGAAAAAAAAAAUUACUAAUCUAAAUAAUACAGCACUUGACAGCUAAAUCUAUGCUAAAAAAAUUGCUAAAAGCAGGAUAAUUGCCACUGUAAAUGCUAAUGCAGGUUCUUUCUUAAAUGAGUGACUAGAUGGAAGCCUUUGAGGACCAUUUGAAGGGUUAGAUUGUAUUUCAGGAUUCACCGCCAUAGCAGGAGACACGGCUGGGGCGUGCGAUCGGUUAACAGGUAAACUCGAGAGUUCAUCAUCAUAACCUGAUAAUAACAUAACAUAAUUUCUCAUUAAUAACUAAUGGAAAGUUAAAGGAAGAUAUAUAUUUUGAAAUACAAAGGGUAUGAAUUGUACUCACAGUUAGAUUCCUUCCAACCCAGAGUCAUGUUCUCGCGAUCAAAGACUAUCCGGUAACCAGUCAUGAAGUUUUCUGCAUGAAAAUAAAUAUAAUAAUCAAUGCUGCAAUUACGACACUCUUCAUCACAAAAUCAAACACAUACUUAUUAAAAGCUUCAAUUCAAUUAAAAUACUUACGUCCAAUGAUAUUCACAUUGUUGCUUUUCAAAACAGCCAAACAAAGAACACCAUUGUUACCCUGGAAUGAAUACCAUAAGAAUCAUUUAUAAGGUUAAGAGAAACGAAAAACAUUAGUUAUCAAUUUCAUGAACUAAAAAGUUAUAUUUCAUGCUCUCACCCCGCCACUUGUUAUUAUCGGGUCCAUGACAAAAUAAUUGUCUCCACCUUUCAUCGUCAAGUUAAUAUUGGGAACUUCAAUCGUCUGGUUUGUUCUGCAAACAAAGUUGAAAUCUUAACAAAUUUGCAGCUGAUACACUUUACAGAUGGUAGAAUAAGAAAAGAUGAUUACACUGAGUGUAUGAUACACUUUACAUAGUGAUUGUAGCUAAACUAACAAAUCUUAACUAAUGUGCAACUAAUACUAUCCAACUUGUAACUAACUUAACAAACUUCAAUUAUACCGAAAAUAUCUCCAACUACAUCCAACAAUCAGUGCUUGGUGUGAUUAAUUUGAAAUUAAAAAGAAAAGAAAUCUUUCAAGCUAUAAACUAUAAUCACCUUAAGUCAUAGCAGUACUCAAAGGGAAGAUCAUCAGAAUUAGAAAAUGAAUGCCUUUGUAGCUUAAUUUUUGAAUCAAACUGCAAAAACAAUGGAAUAAUUAAUUAAUAAGAACUCAAGUGGAAUGAAAUGAAAUUCCAGUUACCUAUUUAAAAAAGUUAUAAUAAUUAAUUAAGAAUACUGAUACUUACACUUUGAGUAAUUUGCUUAUAAGCCGGGUUGUUUAGGUAUGUAAAUGAGGUGCCAGUGUCGAAUAUUGCAUUGAACUCCAGAUCAGCGGAAUUUCCUCCCACAAUAAUUUGGGUGACAGUGAUGUUGUAAGUUGAACUGCAAAAAAAAUGAUAAUGUUAAAAGUUAAAACUUCAAAUACACAGUGCUUCUGAUAUAAACCUUUCAGAAAAAUAGUUUAAAGAUAGACCUUUGAGGUUAAUUUGGUAUAGCAGGUUAAUCAAUUUUUUUUACUUCAGAAACCUUAAUGUUAACCAAGCUGCUAAAAACAUAAAUGAAGUCUAAGAAAUAUAAAUAUACAAUAACCACUUACUGCGACGGCCUAAUGUUGAAUGGUGUUUUUCCUUGGUCCAAGCUACUAUUAUUAUCCCCAAAUGUGAUUCUUCCAAGGCCAUCAGCAGCAAAACACAUUGAAAAAGAAUUUGAAGUUAGCCCUUGUUUGGCUAAGAUACUUGGAACAGAUACAUCACUCAUUCCUAGUCCAAACAGACCAUUUGGAGCUGCCCCAUCCAGAAAAGCCCCUGUUUGAACUUGUCCACAACUGCAACGCAUUCAAUGACAAACACAGAUGUUAAAAUUGCCAACAAAAAAAAGCAAGUCCAGAAAAAUAUUGUAUAGUUAAACUGGUGAUGGAAUUUUAGAGAACAAAUACGACACUCCUCUAUAAUUUCGUUACAAAAUCCAGUGAGGAAUAAGUGAUAAUAAAUUUCAUUUUUUCUGUUUCUAAUUUAAGUGCUUAAUUUUAAUUUUCCUACAGUAUAAUGCAAGAUAAACAACAAUACAUUCUGAAAAUAUUUAUAUAUGUAUGCAUGUAUAUUCAAUACAUUUAAUCCUUUACCAAAAAUAAUGUUCAAUAUAUAACUGAGUAAGAUGUUAAAAAUUUACCCAAAAGUAAUUAGUGGGUUAGCAUGUUGAGUUUGAUCAUCAUUAUCUGUAAUUAGGUGCAACACAUCCUCUACCAAGAAACCAGUAGUUGAAGUAUUUUCUGAUAGAUAUUCAACUUGAUAUGGACAAGUGCCACCAGAUGAUGAAGAGCACUGUGUCUUCUGCUCACAUAAGCUGCUAUUGCAGGCCACAUUUUUGCUAGUGGAUGAUUCUUUGUUAUCAUAGAUAUUAAAAGCAAUUUUCUGUUAAGUAAUACAGAAAGUGUCAUUAAAUUCAAAUAGUAGAGAUGAUAUAACAGCAGUAGUGGAAGAUUUAACUAUAGUAUAGUUUUGAUACAUAUAUAGUAAGAUUUUGAUAAAUGCAAUUUAGUAUACCUGUCCUGUUGAUAGCUGUAUACCAUGGACACAUUUGGUACAAUUGCAAGGGAGCCAGAAUAAGUCACUCCCAGUAUCUAAUGCAACAAGAUAUGAUGAAGCUGGUGUCCCAACAGAAACAUUUGCAAAAUGCAAACUGAAAUACAAACCAAGAGAAGAAAAUAAGCAAUGAAUAAUCACUCUACAUAUAUAUACACUAUUAUCAUCCACAUCAAGAAUGCAUAACAAAAAGGCAAAACCCAUCAAGUAUUUUUAGAUUCAUAUUGAAUUUAGAAAAACAAAAGAUACAUGACACACAUAUGAUUUUCCAUAACCCAAAAAAUGAAAAGAAUAAUCAAGGGAGCUGUCUAAUAUGUACCUCCCAUUAAACUAAUGGAUUUUGAGUCAAAGAAAAAACACUAAAUUAGAAUUUUAAACUAAUAAAAAAGGGAAAAAAAUGUAAUAUUUCAGUAAUCUUACUAAAAAACAGUAAGAUUUUUUUGAACAAGCCAAAAUGGAAUUAAUAACCAUAAGUGAUUCAUCUCGCACAAAGUGUGCAAAAGAGAAUCACUUAAAAAAGAUACAAUAUCAGUUCAUCGGUGCCACAAUACCCGACACCAUGAUUACUAAACCAAAACAAAGAAGAUUACAUGUAAAUACCCAUACAAGACAUAGGGUGUUGCCACCAGUCAUGGUAACUGAAAGCAAACGAAUGCAACCUAGCUUUAAGCCACUGGAAUGAGAGUAAUUUCACUUUGUCAGAUAUCAUCCUAAUUGAUGUAGCCUUCUGAUUGAAAGGUCCAUAUUAAAUAUAUUUUUUCGAUAGACAAAAUGACAAUAGCCACCUAAAAUUCACACAUAAAUGAAUGAAUUACUACUCCGUCCCUAAUUAUAAGACCAUUUUAAAAAAAAAAAAAUUGUCCCUUUUUAUAAGACCCCUUUUCUAUUUCCAACUACAUUAAUUAUUUCUUUACAUACAUGUCCCUAUUUAUUAUACAUCUUUUUCUUCAAUCAACAAUAAAUAGAAUGUUGAAAACAUAAGCCAACCCUCUUUCUUAAAGGAUAAAAUUGUAAAAACAAUAGUAAUUACAAACAUAUUUAAUACAAAUAUCCACUAUUUUAAUUCCCGUUAUUUUUUCAAAAGGGCCUUAUAAUUAGGGACGGAGAUAGUACUAAAUAACAAUUGUCAUUGAAAAUCAUACACACAAAUGGAGGAGUUGGGUUCGAACCCCAUCCAAGUGUUCAAACAUAGCAAUUUCAGCAUUUUUGCUGAUUGAGCUAAGACUUACACACAAUUUUUUAUUUUGUACAAAUUUCGGAGACUAUAGAUACCAAUUUUUUUUGUUGACAGAAGAAAAAAUUACCAAUUUAAUCUCUUAAAUUUAGGCAAUAUACAAUGAAAAUGAUAUUUGUACAACCAUUUUAUGACAACUUUAUCUUUUUAUUGUUUUGGCUUUCGUGUCAAUACAUAUUUUUUCUUUGUAAAUCUAAGGUUGUCCAUAAGUUGCCAACAAAAUGGUUGUUAAUAUAACACAACUCUUAUACUACAUCCGUUUCAAAAUGAAUGUUGUUUAAGGUUUAAACAUAUAUUAAGAAAUACAUUAAUUAAAAGAAAGAUAAUUUUAUUUUACCGAAUUAUCAUAAUCAACUAUUGAUUUUGUUUUGAGUUUUUCUACUUGCACCCUAGUUAAUCAUGGUUGCACCCCAAAAUGACAAGAUUACCCUUUCAUAAAAUUUGAUUUUCAAAAAGCCUAUUCCUUCUUUUUUGGUUACACCCCAAAACCCUUCUUCCAAAACCAUAAUUCUCCAAUUGAUCGAUUGUGUUCUGCGAAGAUUUUCAAAACCAUACUUUCUCACGUCCAUUCAUGAUUUCAAAGAAAAUUCGAAGCAAAUCAGGUUAGCAAGUGUUGUUCUUCAAUCGAUUGUGUUUUUCUUGUUAUGGGUUCUCAGUUCUGAUUUUGUGUUUUCCUUGUUCUGCGAUUUUGUAAACUCAGUUUAAGUAGGUUCAUGUAAACUCAGUUUAAGUAGGUUCAUGUUAACUCAAUUUAAGUAGGUUCAUGUAAACUCAGUUUAAGUAGGUUCAUGUAAACUAAGUUUACAUGAACCUACUUAAACUGAAUUUAAGUUAACCUUGCCAAUGUAAAUUAAAACCGUAAUCGUACAGUGCAUCAUUGCAGUUGAAGGAAAAAAAUUGAAACUAGCAAAUAGAAGAAGAAAUUCACUUACUUAUAUCCAAUUGAGUAUAGAUGAAAAAUAUUUUGAUUCACUCUUUAAUUUUCAUGGAGAUUGAUAUUGAACAUCAAAUUAUUUGAUCGAUCGCUUUGUGGGGUAAAAGAGGGUGAAACUCACUGACAAUGAAUAAAAUUAGGGUUCUAAGAAAAUUUAUAUAAAAGGGCAAUUUUUGUAUUAUAAAAAAAUUUAAGAAAAUUUGGGUGUAACCAGAAAAACAUGGGGUGUAAAUAGAAAAUAUUAAUUGAAUGCUACAAAUGAAAAGAAAAUUUUAUUAUUGCAUUGAAAACUGAAAGUAACAUUCAUUUUGAAACAAUUUUUCUUGACUAAAACGACAUUUAUUUUGAAAUGGAGGGAGUACAAUUUAGUGUGUAUAUGAAUGAAAUAAAUAAAAUUUUAAAAUAAUUAUUUUGACAAAAUAAUCUUCAAUCAAAUUAGUCCUUUUAAAUAAAUUUAUUCAAUUCCAAAAAUUAUCUAAAAUGGAAAAGAAAUAAUGUAAUUAAAGGCUAAAGAUUUGGUCUCUAGAUCACAUAAAGAAUUCAGAUACUCUCUCUCUCUCCCCCAAUCUUUUUCUUUCUAAAAAGAAGUAUCCCAUGUGAUUCUAUGAACUUUAUUCAUGUAACAAACACAAACAUAUGUGGUUGCUAUGUCAAAAGAACAUCAUAAAAUAUAUGAACCAGAAAAAAGAUGAAAUUAAAAUAUAACAAAAAAUUAAAUAGUGGUUGAAAAAACACUUACUAUCCAAACAAACUAAUCUGGUAGGUGGUGUUAUCUGGAGAAAACGUAAGAAGCUUCUGAUCAACAUCACCACCGUCAGCAAGACGCCGACCCCGAAAAACACGGUCUCUGUGGGCCAUAGCAACAUAGUAUUCACGACUUCCCUUGUCAGGAAUGUUGUCAAUACCCAAAAUACCCUUCACCGGAUCAGAAAACCGAUGGUGGAUAUCAAAACCGAAUGAACUAGAACCAUAGCACCUUUGUGAUUGUGAAACUAAAAAUAGUAUUAACGUUAAUAACAGUGAAACAUACAGAGAAUUAUGGGUUUGGUAGGAGAUAGAAAGAAUAGCCAUGAUCGAUGAGUUGAAUUGAAGUUAGCUAUAGUAUCAUGUGAUAUGAAAAAAUUUCGGAAAAUAUAUAUGGUUUGAGUCAAUAACACUAAUAACGUACUAGUUAUGUUUUAUAUGCGUGUGAAGUAAAUGUCAAUGGCAGAGUCAAGAAGCGUGUAAUGGGAAAGUUCAUUGUAUAUCAUGAAAUGAAACAUUCAAAUAUUCGGAGUUGGAUUAUAUGUAGUAGCAAUUUUUCAGCAUUUACAAAGUCAAUCGUUAUUGACCGUUCGAUCAUGAUCAGAUGGUUGAACAAGAUAUUAUCAUUUUAAUUAGGAUAAUAUCAACCAUCGAUUACCAAAUAAGUUUUUUUGUUGAAGGAUUGAUUGAUCAACAAAUAAGUGGAUAUUAUUAUAUAUACAAUACAUGCAUAAUAUCAACAACACACGUUUAGAAGAGUCAUAUCCAUUGACUACUAUUGAAUCACUUGAAUUGUUGUCUAGAAGGACUGUGCAUUUUAUGAUUUGGUUUAAGAUUCACAAGGAAAAGGAAAAGUCAAAGUCGUCUUAUAUAUAUUUCUCAUCCGCGAUCGACGUUGAUUUUACAUUAGCAAAAGGUUGGUGCCAAAUAUAUGGGUGUUCAAUUCAUAUAUGAAUAUGAUCGUACCCCUGUUGGAAACUUCUUUUGAUUAAUUUACUUAGUUUAUGUGUUUAUUUAUUAAAUUAAUAAAGUUGGUGAACAAAGACCGUUUUGCUGAUGAAAAUAUGUAUUUUAGCGGUGAGGAAGCCAACUGCACCCCCAGUUGAACUUUAACCUUUUCCUAAAAUUUUAUUAUUUUUAUCAUGUGAUAAUGAUGGAUGUUGCUAUGUGCCAUUUAAAAUUUCAAACUCUUCUCUAAAUAUAGAAUGAGUCGACUAAAUAUUAGUUUCUUUUAAAAAAAAAUAAAAAUUGAUGAUGUACGUAGAUGCAAAUUUCGAUUUGAGUUGUUCCUAAUCAUGCACUACUAAUUUCUAUAUCAGAAGCUGUUUCUCUCUUCCAGAGUUUAUUCUUCGAAGGUUCGCCAUUGAACAUAACUUAAUUUUUUUUGACAAGAGAACAUAACUUAAUUUAAAAGGUAUAUGUUUCACUCUUACUCAAGUAUUUUUGUACGUAAACAUAUUUUAGCACCCUAUAAUUUGAGUAAAAAAUAUAAUACUAUAAUAAAAUAAUAUAUAGUUAUUUUUAUAACAAAUCAUGUUUUGUGUGUGUUUAUAAUGGAAAUAAAUCAUGUAUGUUCAUAUAUGGAAGUAAAUUUGAGGUAUUUAAACGAUAUCAAGGUGCAAUUGGUCACUUUGCACACCGGCCACCAACGAUCUCCCAAAAUAAAAUUGUUAUCUAAAGCAAUGAAAAAUUAUUCUUGUAUGAUCGCAAGAUCAAAUAUAUAGUGAAAUAUAUAUAUAUAUAUAUAUAUAUAUAUAUAUAUAUAGUGUUUUGAACAUGUAAAGAGAUAUUUUUCUAUCCAUAAGUCCUAGCUCAACUGGUAAAAUGUCGAAAUUGUUAGGUCGGAUGCCAUGAUCGGGGUUCGAACCCCGGUACCUCCAUUAGUGUGUGUGAGUUUAUAAUGACUUUGUCAUUUCGUCUAUAAAAAAAAUGACAUUUUCCUAAUAAAAAGUAAAUCUUACAUUUUGAAGAUGUGUAUUUUUUUUCGUGUAUAUGUCUAAAUAGCAUAUAUUUAAUCUUGUGAUGACCAUACAAGAUUUUCACAUCAAUUAAACAUGAAGAAGAAAAGUAAUUCUUUCAAAAAAAAAAAAUAAGAAAUGGAAGACUAUAAGCAUUUGGACAAGUCAAAGGAUUCUCAAUAAAAGUCAUUGCCAGGUUGGAUUUUUUUUGGCUUAUCGUAACCCUUUUCAAAAUAAAUUUUUUAUAUUGAAUUACUUAUGUUAGAAAUCUCCGUGAACUGAACUCAGUUGGUAGGAAUAUUGCAUUUUAUAUGCAGGGUUCGGAGUUCGAACUCCGAACACUCUAUUUCUCCACAAUUAAACUGUGUGAGCUCUAACCACUAAACUACUUGAAGAAAAAAAAAAAACAUAUGUUAGAAUUUCCCUUAUAAAAAAAAUGAUGCAUUCAUUUAAUUGUCUUCAAUGAUUUGUCUAUUUGAUAUGCGCAACUCCUCAAAGAUAGUGCAACAAGUUGUUUCCAAAAAAAAAGUUGUUUCCAUUAUGUAACCUAUGUAAGAUAAUGGAAAGCUAUGAAAGAUAAAGGAAACAACAAAAUGAUUAAGCUCAUUAUCUCAAAGAAGGUAUGUUACAACUGUUUUUCUAUAAAAAUAAAAAUAAAAUUAAAAAGACCAGUAUCUACGAUAAUAGGUAGGAGUCAUAAAAUAUUGUUUAAGCUCAUAAAAAACCGGAUAUGAAAAAAGAUUAUAGUCAAGUCACUACUUCAAUACAUUUCCAUUUACCAAUAGCUAAUAUUUUUCUUACUAGUACAUCACGCAAUCCACGGAAAGUUAAUUAUCAAUAGCUAAUAUUUUUAAAAGUGAAAUUGCAAUAUCAUACAUAUGAAAUGAAAUUUAUAAGCAUAUACAUAUAAACUGCGUGUAUACACCGACAAAACAAUCAUAAAAGUUAUUUGUUAUUAAUGUAUGUAGUAGCAAGUGAUGGAACAUUUGGAUAGAGUUAUGAACAAAAUUAAUAAUUAACCCAACUUUUGGAAAACUUUCUUAGUACUACAAAAUAAAAUGGGCUUUGCCCUCUUUUUUGUACCAAAAAAAAAAAAAGAGCUUUACUAUAUCAAACGAAUAAACUUGUGCCGAAUUCAUAAUGAAGGAGAAAUCAGCCAAUGAGGAAAGAGAGUUGUGCGGAAAUCAAGGGAUACUGGUUCAAAUAAAGCGGAAAUCCACAAUAAAAAUCAAGGGAUGAUUUCGCUAUAAAUAGCUUUUUUUUAAAAUAAUAAUGACAAUGAAGCAUGAGUUAAAGCUUGCAAAAGAUAAAAGAAUCAAGAAAAUUGUUGUUGACACUUAUGAUAGGGUUGAAAAACAUAAGAAAAUUGUUGUUAAUACAUAUGAGUUCUUCGGCAUUUAAGUGCCGAGGUUUUUUUUUUCUUUCUUUUUUUGUCGGCAGUUAACUGCCGAAGGAACUUCGGAAGUUAACUGCAGCUGGUUCCUUACUUCGGUAGUUAACUGCCGCAGGAAUAUUUUCGUCUUUUACAUGUAUUUUUCAGUCCUAUCAUAUGUGUCAACACAACAAUUUUCAAGAAUCAAAACAUAAAAGUAAUUUUUACUUCUUAUAUCAACAUAAAUGUCAGGAGUGAGAUUUGUGUAUAAAAACAAGAUUUUAAUAAUGUCAUUUAGAAGAAAGGACUUCUAAUAUUCAUUAGUUCAAUAGUAUUUAAGUUUAAACGCACUUUUUACCCUCUAAUUUUGCAAAAGUUGUAAUUUUGGCCCCUAUUAAAAAAAAUGGCAAAAAUGACCCCCCAUAUUUAACCCUUUUGCAAAAGAUCAAUUUUGACCUGAUCAAUCCUAGGUGUCACGCCACAUAACUUAAAAAGUUGCCAGCUAUGUAUUUUUUAAAUUAUAAAAAAAACAAAAAUCCAUGCGUGUAAUUAGAGAAUAAAAAAAAUGAAAAAUAGAAGGAAAAUAAGGUGAGGCACGUGAGGCAUCUUCUUCUUCCCUUCAUUCUUCAUCAAUCUCCUUCUUCAUCCUCUUAACCUAACAAUUUCCAAUUCUCUUUUUAAAAAUUAAUUAAAACAAAGAAAAAAUUAAAAUAAAAAAUAUUAUGAAUAUUGCAAUACAACACCAACACCAACUUCGAAUUCGCUUUCAGAUCUCAACGAUUUCAAUUCAGAUACACAAGUUUCAAUCAUUGUUCUGGUUGUUCCUUGCGUUUCGGUAUUUUAUUUUUCCUUUUAAAAUCUUCAUAAACUUACACCAACCCAUACCUACAAAUUUGGGGUGGGAUUUCUGCAAAAUUUUACCAAAAUCGAACUUUAAUAUGUUCAGAACUGUCGCUGCCUUAUCAUUCACCUUAACCCUAAUUAUUCACCUUUACCUUUUCUCUGCGAUCUUUCACUCAUUUCAACUAUAGAUGUUAUAAACAGUAACCCUUUUCUUUAUCAAACUCCUCAAAACCUUCGUGAAUUGAAUCAUGUAUACAACGAUAGUGGUAGUAGGGGUAGUAGCAGAAGUAACAAUGAAGUUAUGUUGUUAAAAUCUGAAUCUUUAUCUUUCUCUUUAUCAGCAAACAAAAACAACCAAAAUCAGAUGAGUGUUCAUCACCUUUAGAAGGUGCUAAUCUUCAACGUUAUGGUUCUGUUGUUAGAUAUCUGAAAUUGUUUUUGUGUUAGAUAUCUGAUUUACGAGUUUUGCUUGAAUUGAUGAAUUUAUGAAGAUGAUUCUAUAAGUUUGAAGAAGAAUAAGGAUGAAGAUGAGAAAGACAGUCAAGAGUGAGAGAGAUGAAGGUGAGGGAGAGAGAGAUGGGUAGUGGGGUGUGUUCAUAUUUUCAUUUUUUUUCUUCUCACGUGCAACUUUCUUUCUUUCUUUUCCUUUUUCGUUUUUUUAAUUCAAUUGAUAAAUAUGUGGAUUUUUUUAUUUUUUUAAUUCAAAAUAUACACAGCUGGCGUGACACAUAUGAUUGACCAAGUCAAAAUUGGUGUUUUGCAAAAGGGUCACUUUUGCCAUUUUUUUUAGGCUUAAUUGCACUUUUGGACCCCUAUCUUUCCAAAAGUUGCGGUUAUGUCCCCCUAACUAAUUUAAAUACAAAACAGCCCCCUAUGUUUUGAUUCUUUGGCAGUUUUGGACCCUCGGUCCAUUAGUGAGGUGCCACGUGUAUUAUUUAGGGGGCCACGUGGCACCCCACGAAUGGACUGGAGGUCCAAAACUGCCAAAGAAUCAAAAGAUAGAGGUCUGUUUUGUAUUUAAAUUAGUUAGGGGGCCAUAACCGCAACUUUUGGAAAGAUAAGGGUCCAAAAGUGCAAUUAAGCCUUUUUUUUACAGGGGGGUCAAAAUUGCAACUUUUGCAAAGUUAGAGGGUAAGAAGUGCGUUUAAGCCUAGUAUUUGUAAGAAUACUUUGCUGCCGUUCCAGGUAAAUGUUCUUACCACACUAUAGCUGAUUAAUAUGGAAUAAGCAAAGAUUAAGAAACAUAAAACAGGAAAGAUAGUCAAGAAUUCAGAUAGUUACAUUCAAUUUGAUUAAUGUUGUAAUCAAAGAUUUAAUUAGAAAUAUGAGCCAACCUCCAAUUAAUUAACAGUUCCAUCGAAAAUCAUAUCACCAAACCAAGAUAAGUAGAAGACAUGAACAUGAUUGACGACUACAACUACAAUUGCACACCUCCGGAAAAAUGAUACCUGCAAUAGGAAUAAAAAUAAAAAUAAAUCGGUGACACAAAAAAGAGAAACAAAAAUAUCCUACAAACACACGCUGAGACACUUUGAACUUGAAUUGGAAAAAUAAUAUGUAGAUGAUUACAUGAAUGAAAAACUCACAUAAAAGAGGCAUUGAAUAAAGUGAAUGAAAGCAAAACAAAAACCAUGCAUUGCAUUUUUUAUUGAUCAAUACUUCUACAAAAAGAAGAAGAAUAGUCACAAUGAGAAAUAUUCAGAAAUAAUGAGGAUGGAGUUUGGGGAAUUGAGUAAUGGAAACAAUGACAAUUAGUGAUAAUUAAUUAGUGGAAAAUGGGAAUUGAAGAAGAAUGAGGUUUUGGUGUCUUUUGCUAAAUUAUUUAUGAGGUUUUGGAGGAAAGUGAAUGUUUGGAGCAUCAUUGAACGUCGUAUGCACCAUGCAUGUAACUAAAAAGAUUUGUUGGAUCGGUUACAAUUUUGAAGAAUCAAGAUUUUAUAUAGAAUAGAAUACUGUUAAUAAUUGUAUGCAUUAACAUUUUUAAAUGAAGGGUAUAACACCUUCGCCCUAUAAAGUUUCAAGAGCAUCCAUUCAUUCUUUCACCAAUCUUGUUGGAGCAAAUCAAUUAGGGUUCUGAGCUUCUUCAAGGUAAUUCUUUCACUCUGAUUUUUAUCGACCAUUCUUCCUUAUUUAUAUAAAUAAUCAACAUCAUAUUGUAAUAUUUUUCCAUGACUUACAUCAGUUUAUUUAGUUUGUUAAUUCGAUUGUAAUUGUUUUUCCAAAUUUCCUUUCGAUUAUUUGCAUCAGUUGUCAUUUUUAAUAUGAAGUUCGUACUUCAGAUUGAAAGAAAGCAACUUUUUGUCUUCUCGUGUUUGAUUCUUAGUUUCUUUUUCGUCCUCUAUGAUAUCAAUCAAAUUUUAAUCCCUUUUUUAUGUGAUUGAAUUUAACUUAAUUUGUUUAUUUUCCUUUUUACAACUUGUUGUAGUCAUGAAAAGAAAAAAGGUUUCAAUUGAUGCUGCAAGAACAAAAGUUGAUAAUGAGGCAGAGAGUCAUGAUGAACUUUUCCCUUUUUUUGACAAUCUUCCAUCUCACCUCACUGCCAAUAUUCUGCUUCGACUUCCCGUCAAGCCUCUUCUCAUUUGUAAAUGUGUGUGCAAAAUUUGGAAAAGACUUAUUUCAGAACCACAUUUUGCUAAAUUGCAAUUUGAGCGAGCACCACUUAGUUUUAUGAUUCGGACCCUUGACGAUAUUAGAGUGUCGAGAACCAUGUACCUUCUUGAGUGUGAACCUGAAAAGUUUGAGAUUGGAAGCAACAAACAUGUCAAGCUUGAGCCUAUAUUCAAGCUUCCUCUCAUAUCAUUUAGGGAUAAAAGAAGCGAGAUCAGUAAUGAAUUCAAUCGCCCUGUUCGUGCUGCAAGAUUAGUUUCGGGGAAAAACAAUGAGAACAUUGAUAGGGAUAGAACAAACCGUUAUAGUUAUACUGCUUGCAACAAAUAUUAUGAUAAGUUUGAUAUUGUGAAUUCUUGCAAUGGUUUACUUUGUUUGUCUGAACCAACUACCGGAAACCCUUCAGUGAUCUGCAACCCAGUCACAGGGGAGUUCAUAAGACUUCCUGAAGCUACCACGAAUCGAACUCGGGUAAGAAUGGUAGGACAAGUUGGUUUUGGAUUCCAACCUAAUACUAAUGAAUAUAAGGUAAUAAGAAUGUGGAUAAGACAUGGUAAACGUGCCAAUGACCGUGUGAUCCUUCAGAUAAACACACUUGGAACAACAAUAUUGAGAAAUGUUGAAGUGGAUCCUCAAAUUUCUUUUUUGAGUCUCGAGUAUCCCACUUGUGUGAAUGGUGCACUUCAUUGGAUAAGAUAUGAAAAUCAGCAAAGGUCAAUAUUGUUUUUCUGUUUUGAAAGUGAGAGGUUGCAGUCAUUUCCUUCUCCUCCGCAUGUGUUUGGAAACCAUAAUAGUGGAAUUGUUGAUAACAGACAUAUCAUGGGAGAAUUAAAGGGAUUUCUUUACAUUUGUGACUGGACAUUUUUAUCUGAUGUUUCAGUGUGGGUUAUGAAUGAAUAUGGUAUUGAAGAAUCAUGGACUAAAGUUUACAACAUUGAUACUUCGUUCAAUCCUUCGGGCUGUCUUAUUACAUGGGGUUCAGGUUUAUGGCCGAUAAAACACUUUGAAGAAGGUGCUGCCAUAUUGUUAUAUCAUUGCUACAAUUGUUUUAUCUUCUAUGAACCUGAGAAAUAUGGAUUCAAAGUUUUUCGAAUUCAUGGGAGUCAUUCAAAGUUUUUUGAAGUAAUCCCACAUAUUCCAAGUCUAAUUUCAUUGAAGGAUGUCUUGAAAGGAGACAAUAUCGAGGUGCUGAAUAUCCACUCAAGGUAAGAAUGUAGCUUCUAAUACUUUAUUUUCCGUACAAGUCAUAGUAAUUAAUUUUAAUCAUAAGAUGAGUUUUCAAAGGGACUCGAGUGAGUUUCUUAUGUUACCACUUAUAUUUUAACUUUCUAGUUUUAGCUAAUAUUACUUGACCAUUAUUCUCUAAUACCGGUUUGAUUAUUAUAGGUGUGCAAAGUUUAAAUUGCGGGAAGAAAGGGACGUUCUUUCUCUGUUUCAAGAGAUUGUUUGAGACUUAAAGUAUAUGUUUUUCAUCAUCUUACGGUGACUUGAUAAAUAAAUCUUCUCUUUCAUCAUCUUAUGUUACUUAGACUUUGUUGUGUAAUACUGUUGUUAUUUUAUAUAGGUGUGCAAAUUUUAAAUUGCAUGAAGAGAAUGAAGAUCUUGAAUGAUGUCUUAACAAAUAUCUUCUUCCUCCAGUGGUGAGGCUUUUGGUGAAGAAGGAAUUUUCAUAUAGUGGCUGGCUUAUGUUUAAUCAUGAGUUAUGAUUUGGCUAGUUGUGAAUUUUGAAAGAAAAUAAAAAUAAAAAUCUCGUUUUAGGAUGCAAAUGAUGGCUUUUUUGUUAACUUUAAUCUAGAGGUUCAUUUAUCAUUAUCUAUGCAAACACACUCAUAGUUUGUAAUUGUUCCUCAAAAAGGAUUUUUGAAUUUAUUAGUGUGAAAUAUAGCAAACCAAUUAUUUGAGAAGCUUCGAUUGCAGUGAUUAGAUUUAAAACUUUUAACACUUGAAUUUCAAUUUUUUGGUAUAAUAUUGAAUCCUUUACCAUCCAUUUAUCAAAGUUCACUCUAAAGUUAUUUAAAUUCACACAUGUUUUUAGGUCGAAUAUGUUUUAGGUCAUAUUUUCUUCCCUUUUUUACUUUUUAUGCCUUUCUUCAUCUGCGAAUCUGUUGCAUGUAAUGUUUGUUUUGUCUUUUAGUUUAAGUUAAUUAAAUUUGAAGUUUGAAAGACAUCUUGGACGUUGGUUAAUUUGAAUAGAAUGAUUGGUUGAACUUAUAGUUGUGCUGAAAUUUGAAAUUGUAUCAUUUACUCCCUCCGUUCCUUUUUACCAAUAUUGUCACUUUUGGAUAAAAAUUUUGUUCCUAUUUAACUGUCACUUUCAAAGUUCAAUGCAACAUUAAAUGUUGUUUUAUCAAUAUUGUCCUUAGUUAUUUAUUGCGGAGAGAGAAAUAUAUGAAAUGAGAUAUUAAAUGAAUAAGGUCAUUAUAGUAAAAGUAUAAUUUAUUGCAUCAAAAGUAGUAUCAAUUGUUGAUUGUCUUGGUUUGUGUAAAAUGUCAAAUUAUGACAAUUAAAAAGGAACGAAGGUAGUACUUUUUUUAUUCUAUUUUGCUACUCACUAGAUCAAACUGAUUUUGACAUUUUUUCAAUAUAUACUUUUCUGAGCUUGUACAAUUUCAGAAUAUCUAAUAAAAAGGAAAAAAAAAAAAAAAAAAGAUUGUCACAAAAAUUUUAAAAUUGAUCUUACGAAUAUCAUUCAUCUUAUUGGAAGAAAGUGGUAAGGAAGACUUGAUCUCAUUCCUAGCUAUUCGCCAUGAACAUGGUUACAAAGCUUGAAUUGCCAUUCCAUGCUCCAAAAAAAAAUCUUUCGAGCAUAUGUGUCACAAUCAAGUUGCUGCGGGAAGAAAAGACUGAAUAAUAUUUUAUUAUAUUUUUGCCUCAAAAUUCAGAGAAUCUUAGAAGAGAUUCUCAUAUGUUAUAAUGACUUGACCAAACUUCGUUACCUCAUUACUAUUGAAAUUAAAAGUAUAAGCAGAGUUAUCUUCAAGUCGACCACAAAAUUCACACUAUCAAACUAUACUGCUAUCCAUUGAAGUGCAUUAAACAACCCAAGGGCUUCUCCUACAUCAACAUGAUGUUUUUUAUCGGGAAACUCAUAAUUUGCGCAAGCACAAAAGUACCUUAUGCAUCACGUAAACAUAUUCUGUUGUUUUUAGAAUUAGAAAAGUAACUUUUAAAAAAAGAAAUCACCAUUGAAGAUAUUAUUGGGUUGAGUCACGAUCAGGUCGUUCUGUUUCAAACGUGUCGUGGUACCAUCGAGUUUAUGCAAGAUAGACUAACAACUGCGCCGCUUCCAGAAUAAAACAGUUCAGUUCACCGAUCUCGUUUGAGAAAUAACACCAUCAAUAUUAUAACAUCCCGUUUUCCCAACUUAAAAAUUUCAUAAACAUUUAUCAGAGUAAACAACAUAUAACGGAAUGCUACACUUCUAAAAUCAUAAAACAGAUAAUUAACAAAUUAUCUUUCAACAUAAAUCAUUAACGUAAUAGCAGCGGAUUAAAUUCUUCAACAUAAAUUAUCUUGGCACGCAGGCCUCAUCAAACACCUCAUAAAUUCAAUUCAAACAACUUAAUUAUAAAUCAAUAAAUCAAUACGUAAAGGAAUAGAAGCAUGCAAUCAAAGACCCCAUCCCGUUACGUAUCAGAGCAACCUAAGACUCGGUGAGGAAAGGCCACUCACGACAGCAAACACAACAACCUACUCUCGAUCACCUGCAAGUUACUCAUACGAAUAGCAACAUUUCCAAGCAGAAGGGGUGAGAUUUCACAAAACAAUAAUAUUAAACAUAUAAUUCAACAAUUAUAUUUAACACCUUGGAAACAUCAUAAUAACAUCAUGGAUAAUAAUAUAUCACAUAUCACUUCAUAAAUAGUUCAUAAAUGGAACACAGCUCAACAUCUUGGCAACUUAUCAUCUUUGACUCGACAAUGUGACUAUGCAACUUAGACCUCUUAUAUGCAUGUGGUACCAAUCCAGGGCAUCAAGCCCCCAUCGCUAUAAGUAUUAAUAUACUUCCAGGGCAUCAAGCCCCCAUCGCUAUUUGAGCUAAAGCUCCAUCGUGUUGAGUACAAGGCUCCAGGGCAUCAAGCCCCCAACAAUGAAAUGCUAAUGCAUGGACUCGACCUCUUAAACAUCUUAGAACAACAACCUCUUAUAUAAUCCAAUAAUUUGGAACAUCAUCAUCUUCAUCAACUUAGACUGACCCAUGCAGCUUAGUUAAAUAACAACAGCAACAUAGGCAGUAUACGAAAACAGCAUGACAUAAUAAUAUCAAGUGCAAGUCAACAACAUCUCAAUUAUACAUUCAUAACUCAAGUAAUGCGUAUAACAUUAUAUCACAUCAUAAUCAACAUCAACACAUCUUAAACAGCUUCACAGAUUAUAAUUAACAUCAUCAUUAAGUCUCAAUACUACCCCAAGGUUCAACCCUUAACAACUUGUGCGACACAGAUCGCAAAAUCCUAACAAGGCACUCUGUUUCUGGGUCACUCGCGAGGCGAGAGCCUCUGCUCGCCGUGGCGAGUUCAGGUCAGAAUUCAAAAGGUUUCAUUCUAAAUCUUUCCAGGUUCAAUCUCAUUCUACAUUUUUUCCUAAUCAUUAUUAGACAUGUUCAGGCACUCAAAAGCAUAUAAAGAUCAACUCAAAAGUCAAAAUCACGAAAUCUUGCAUGCUCUCUGGUCAAGCUCGCUAGGCGAGUUCAUCUGCUCGUUAUGGCGAGCUACAAGGUGCAACUCGCGAGGAGGGUAAGGUUUGCUCGCGAGGCGAGCGAUGAAGUUCAUCACUCGUCGUGGCGAGGAUCAUGGCUCGGGAGGCGAGCGAUGAAUGUCGCUACGGGCAGAAGUGCAGUUUUUCAUAAAAAUCACUAAUUCUCAUGGUUUAAAGCCUAACAUUGAUUCCAAAAUUCAUCCUAUACAUUAUCUAAGGUCUAGGAACAGUUUCUACAUCAAUCUAACAACUUUUCACCGUUUAAUCAUCAAAUUCUAUCAUUAACCCUAAUUCUCCGACUUCUCUAAUUCAAACCUACACUUGCUAAAUAUGAUCAUCAGAAUUAUAUAGAUUAAUAGAAUUGUAAGUUAGUCUCACCCUUACCUUAUAGGAUGAAAAUCGCAGCCCUAGAUCUCUCUUGCUCUUCUCUUGGCUUUUUCUCCCUUUUCUCCAAAACUGAUCGUACGUUAUGUUUUUCUCUAAACUAGGUUUCCCUAUUUAUAUCUCCUCCAUCUAUCUUAUCUUAUUUCUCUUUCUCCCCCAAAACUCUCUAAAAUCUCAAAACAACCCCUAAACUCAAUAUUUAUUUUAUUUUCAAAUCUUAUUUUAUUAAACAAUAAAAUAAGUCACAACUCCUCAUAAAUCACAUAAAAUCACCUCAAUCAUAUAAACCUCUUAAAUCACACAUAUAUCAUAUAAAUAUAAUAUAAACUCAUCUUAAUAACUUAUAGACUCAAUUAAAUAAUUAAAUAAUUCGAAACGGGCGUUACAAAUAUGAUUUAAUCUUCUAUUAAACCACUUUAUAUGGUACGAAAACCACUCGAAACCGAAGAGAUAUAAAGAGUAGAAGAAAUUAGCCAGGUUAUACACAGAGAUUAAUCAAACUUUUUUUAUGGUUUAAUAAAAUAUUUCACAAAUAUAUAGUUCUUCCGGAAUAAAAUAUAAGCAAAAAUAUUAAUUGAAAAAUUUAUGUAUGCAAAUUAUAUUUUUAACCGCAUAUUUUGACAUUUUAACCGCAUACAUUAUAUAACAUUAUCUACAAUCUAUAAUAUAUAAAGAGAAUACAUAAUUUUAAAUUAAAAUAAUUUAUAUUAUAUUAUUGAUGGCAUUCGAAAUAAUAAAGAUGAUUAAUUAUAAUAUAAAAAUACAAAAUAUUUAUACAUAUAAUUUUUAAUCUAAAUCAAAAUUUCAUAAAAACUAAAUACCUAAAAAUUGAAAAUUUCUCACAUUUUGUCGGGGUUGGUGGUAGCCUAUAGAAGCAUGCGGUGUGAAUUUCAAAGGUUAUAAUUGAUAGCAGCAACCAAAUUACCUUCAAAUGCAUUAAUAAUAUGUCAGAAAUUCCCAUUUUAGUUGAGCUAACACAUGCUCCACCACUAUUUUCAUUCAACUUGCAAGUCCAUUUAGAUUUAUCAGGGAGGCCAAUUCGAGACCCCAAAAUCCCAUAUAUAAUCUUCUAAAAAAACUUUAAACAACACUUAAUUUAAAAUAGAGUAAUUUUUUUAUAUAUAUAAAUAGAGUAUUUUAGAAGGAUUGCUUCUCGAGUUGAUCUGAAAUAUUGAAUUAUUGGCUUGUGCAAUCUUCCAUGAAGUUUUACUUACACACUUGGAAGUACUCUAGAUUACCACAACCAUUUUUCUUUGAGAAAUAGAUGUUUAUGACAAAAAAGUUACACCUAUAAACUACACAACAAGCCCUCUGUAAAAGCAUUCAUUAACUAGUGUUUCAUGGACACCGGUUAAAAAGACUUAAGUUAUUUAAUUAUACUGUAAGAAGUUAAUCUUUAAGUUUUUUCGUAACACUUAUAUCCUUUAAAUUAUUUAAUUGUACCAUAUGAAUCCAUUAAAAAAAAUAUUAUACCACUUGAAUCCUUUAAGUUAUUUAACUAUGACUUUUAAACACCGAAUAACUUACAUUCCCAAAAUUGUUAAAGCUAAAUAACUUAAAGGACCUAUUUGGUGAAGAAAAAACUUAACCUAAUUAAUUUAAAGGACCUAUAUUGUAAACUACCGUAAAACUUGAACAAGAAGAAGAUGAAAAUGAACAUGAUAAAAAGGGCACAUAAAUUUUAAAGAGUGUGUGAACACACUAAGCUUUAAGUUCGAUUCGCCCCCACCAAUUUUUGUCAAGUAGAUGCAAAUGAGUAUACCGACGAACCCCUUCAUGAUACUUUGGAAUUCUUGACGUAACUUGCACAUUCACAUUAAACGUAUAGAUCAAUGGUAGUUUACAAAAUAAAGUUCUCUCAAUUGCUCUCGUGUACUAGAGAAAAGAAGAAAUUGUUUUAUAUUAUUUUCUGACAAAUCUUAACUCACAAGAAUAUGAUUUUGUGUCAUUUUUUAGCCUCCCAAACAUAUCUAUUUAUAAAGAAUGUAAUGUCAUUUGGUGAAGAAAUACUUUGUGUCAUUGACUCACAAGAAUCUAAUGUUAUUUUAAAUAUAUUUUUUGUUAAAAUAACAUUUACAUUGAAAUAUCACAGUAUUUUUUUUCAACUGUUUAUUUUUUAGCCUCCAAAGUAUUUUUAUUUGUAAACGCCUAGAUCCGAAUAGUCGGCUGUUCAGAAAACAUAUUUGUUUUACUCUGUCUUGAAUCUCAAUAUUUAAUUGGAUAUAUCACAAAGAUCUCGACCAUAAAUUCUAAAUUGAACGGCUCAAAUCCAAAUCCUUAAAUGUCCCAGAGCUUGCAAAGAAUGGAAAACAAAUAUUUAAUGUGGUAGAUGAGUGAACAAUGGUAACAUUGAUGGAGUUGGUGACUUUGAAAGGACGAUUUGGUUUGAUAUGGUAACAUUGUCUGCUUGGUUUGAUAUGGUUUAUUAUGGCAUUCAAACUUUUUUUGUGUAUGAUAGUUCUUGUCUUCAAACUAAAGUUUCAAUCCCAAUAAAUAAGUAGUAACUACUAGUACUGUUGAUCACCUGUCACAUUAAGCAUUAACUGAUUGUUUAAGGUUUGACAAAUGAUAAAGCAUCUUAAAAGUUACAAGAGAAGCAAGCAAGAGUACAAGACACAAAUCUGGACACAUUCGACUACAUUUAGAUCGUUCAGUCAAGAUCGAAAUUUGUAAUAUGAACCGUUUAAUCUUGAUCCGAUAAUUGCAACUGCGCAUAAUUCAACUUAGCAAAACACUCAAUGUAGUCAUAAAUUUUAUAUACUAUACUAGAGUCUACACUCUCGUCAAUUCAUCUAUAGACUAUAGGGUGCUACUACAGUCUCCACUCUAAUGUUGUUUAACUCCAAGUAUUGCCACAUGAUCAGGUGCAUUGGACAAAACUUAGGUGUACUUAUUUUUGUGAUACUUUUACUGAUCUUCAACAUAAGUUUAAUUGAAUAAUUUAACUCAUGGAACAUGUUAUAUUUGGUGAAUAACAUGUAUAGAGCUAAGUUUUGUCCUUUUGAAUAUGCCGCAAAUAUCAAUCUUUGUCAGAAAUAAUUGAAAAAACUUAAACGAGUUUUAUUGAAGCUCCAAAAUAUAGUUUUCAUACAAAAAAAAAAAAAAAAUAUAGGCUUAAUUGAUCUACCGGUUCCUUAACUCAUUUCUUUUAUUCAAUUUGAUUCCAUAAGUCUUAACUUUCUCAAACACGUCCCUUAACUUAUUUCUUUUAUUCAAUUUGGUCCAAUUUUGAUAAUUUUAAUCCCCUAGAAAAUGAGACCGUUGGAUCACGGAUGUCUAUCAGAUUUUAUAGUAUAUCGCUAACACCUAAUUUAAACCCCUUUAUUCAUCUUCAUCUACAUUCAUCCUUCAUCAAUAAAAUCAGAAAUUUUUAUUUUAACCUAGAAGUGCCAAGCGAAGAACAACACACAUACAACAACAACAUACAGCAGGUAUGUUAAAAAUCCAAACAGCAACACCAAAAAAACAGAAGGAAAAAAAACCUUCCACCAGCGACCAAAAACAGGUUGCAAAUGAACAAAAUCGUCCUCUUCACAAACAGCCUUGAAAUCUACAACAUUGGGGUGCUCAUAUAACUUUUGAUAAAGAAAAAUUAAGGUUGAAUGAUGAAGAUUGGGUUUGUAAAAAAAAUUGGAAUGUAGGGUUUUUGAACAGAAGGAACAUUCAUAUGUUCAAGAUUCUGAAUCCAACCCAUUUCAAAAAUAGGAUUCAAAAACUUCUUCUUCUCACGCGUAAUCCCUUUCUUCCUUUCUUCUCUAAUUUUUUCUUACCACCAGAAAAGCAUAAUCAUGAUGAUGGUGAUAACAACAUAGCAACAACCUUCAUCCCAAAAUUGCAGGAAGUAGGAGGACAUAUGUAUGUCUUUCUUUGUACCCGUUCAUUUAAAAUAGAAGCUAAGAACUCAUGAUUUGAACAAAAAGAAACAAUCCAACACAAUACAAAUCCGCGAUUUGGAAAAGGACGAGCGAACCACACCCAGAUCGUACCGUUCGUCGAUAGAGACGAAGACCAUCUCGUGUUAUUGUUCAUCAACAAAGGAUUUAACAAAACAGAUCGAUGAAGGGAGAUGAAGAUGGAAGGAACAAAUUUAGUUUUUAAAAAAUCCAGAUCCAAAAAAAUAUAUGUUGUUGUCUAAGUUGUCAGUGCAUAGUGUUGUUCUUGGGUUAAACGCAUGACUUUGAAUAUGAUUUAGUUUUGGAGGUGAUUAUGAACGAUUUAGUGUUGUUGUUGGGGUGAUUCUGAUGAGUUAGUGGUGGAAGAAUUAAGUUGUGAAUGAUUAUUUUUUAUUUUUUCUGGAAUUUUUUUCCUGUAUUUUUAUUUAUGAUGAAGAUGAUGAAAUUUGCUUGGUUUAGGUGUUGGUGAUACACUAUAAAAUCUUAUAGACCUUCGUAAUCCAACGGUCUCCUUUUUUAGGGGAUUAAAAUUAUCAAAAUUGGACCAAAUUGAAUAAAAUAAAAAAGUUAAGGGACGUGUUUGAGAAAGUUAAGACUUAUGGGACCAAAUUGAAUAAAAGAAAUGAAUUAAGAAACCGGCAGAUCAAUUAAGCCAAAAAAAUAUCACCGUGCACAUCGUGAUUCUGUUAAACUCGCUGUGAAUCUAAAGAUGCACUUAAAUGCUCGUAUAAAAUGUUCAUGUUCAGAAUUGGGCAAGUGUUAGGUACCAUUCACAUGCACCAUAACAAAGUGAGACUCCAUAAACUUUGGCAAGAACAAAUCCACACGGCUAGAUUACUGUCUCAUAUGGUAUUGUUCUUUGUUUAGAAAACUAAAGAUAAAAUAGAAGUAUAGAACAAAACAGAAUGGAGACAAGCUACAAAAGGGUCGUCUACUUCAUAUAAGUCAUAUCUAUAUACAAGAAGCUGAAAAUGGUUUAUCUCAAAAUUUUCUUUACACUAAUUUAGUACAAUGAUAUCACAUAACUGCAUUAGCUCUCAGUAGCUGUAAUCAAAUGUAAGUUAAGACCUAGAAUUAAAUAAGCUUAUAAACAAAACCAAAAAAGAAAAAGAAAAGAAAAAAACCUCUUUUACGAUCAGUGCUAUUCAUAUACAAAAUUACAGAUCCCUUCUGCAUAAUGGGCAAGAACCAUGCCUUAAAAGCCACAUAUCUAUGCAAGGUAGAUGAAACAUGUGAUGACAAUGAGGUAAACUUCUAACUGUCUCUCCAAGUUGAAAGUCCUGGAAACAUACCAAUAAUCAGAAAAUGUCAAUAUCGAUCAAAAUCAAAUUACAGAAUAACACUUUGUUCAUGUUCAUGUCAGGGGUAAGCACUAAUAAUAGUAAGUAGUGACAAUAAAAAGUGCAAAAAAACCAACCUGGAGACAAACUGAACAAGAAACUUUCUCCCCUGAUGCCUCAAUAUUGUCAGCAGUGAUUUUGAUUUUUGGGAUCUUCGAAACCGAAUCUACGGAUAACCCUUUGGAACCACCAAUGUCAAAGAUGUUUUGAACCUCAUCAAAGCUUGUUUCAACAGCACCCAUCUGAUAAAAAAAAGUGUCAGAAAAAUACUAUGAAAUAAAUGAACAUUGCAGCCAAAAUUCUAUCUCAUUGAUAAAAUCCUUUUGAACAAAACAAAAGUACCUGACUUUGAACAGCACUCAGCAUUGCAGGACCUAUCCUCUCACGCACAAGUCUUCCACUCAACAAGCUAACAAUAACAUCAAUCUGCAUAACUCAAAAGGAUCAAAAUUCAUGCUACACAACAUGCCAUUACGAAUGUGAAUGAUAAAUAGAAACUCAAAGGGGACUAAAACUUUGCGAUCUUAUAGCUUCAUAAAAAGCUUCCAACACAAGAAAAGAUCUCAUUCUAACAAAACCUACUCACCAAGUAUAAAAGACAACCAAUUCCAGAUUCAUCAGAAUGCCAAAGAACAAGAGAUGAUUCAAAAACUUCAAUAGAAAAAACAGCUCCUGAUAUAGCACCAACAGCGGCACCUCGAAUGAAACCGCUUUCGGUCUCUUGACCUAUCAAAGCUCCUGUCAAAGCACCCAAUAAUGUUCCAACUGCAGAGAACAAAACAAUCCAUUAAACCUUAUUCAAAAAACAAACAAAAAAAACCAUUAAACCUUAAAACUUCAAACAUAUAAAUUGUCACAUCUAAAUGUUAAAAAUCCAAGAAAUAGAAGAUCAUUAAUAACCUACAAUUUUGUAAAUUUUGUUUACAUUAAAAAUAACAAAAUUAGAAAACAUAACCAAAACAAUGAAAAAUCCAAACCCAAUCAACAAAAUAUCAUAAACCCACCUCCCAAGUUUCAUUUUUUUCUUCUAAAUUUCACAUAAACAAAAUCAUCUGAAUCAUUUUCAACAAAUUGAAAAACAAAAUUAUCAUAAAACACAACACAUUGACAUUGCAAAUUCACCCAAAAUACAGAAACAAAACAAAGAAUUAGAGAAAUAAUUGUAGAAAAGAAUCAAACCUAAUGCAAAACAGAAGGUCAAGAUCGCAGAGAAAAUGUUUCCAAUGAUAACAGAAAUUGCGAGGGUACCAAAUUGUUUAACUUUGUCAACGAAAUUCCCAAAAGAACCGAACAAAGAAGAACGAGAAGGACAUGGAUUUGGUACAAAAUCCAUUUAUCUAGAUUUUCACACAAAAAAAUCGCACGAAUCGAUACAAACAAAACAACAAGAACAAGAAGAAUUGGUAAAGUACGUUCGGUUUGAAAUUGAUGGUACAAAGAUUUGGGUUUAAGGAGGAGUUAUAUAAUAAUAAAAUAAUGGAAAUAAAUAGUAAUAAAUAAAAAAAGGAAGAAAAAAUUGAGAAUAAUAAUAUGAAAAUGUUGAUAUUUAUAAGAGAAAGGUCUUGGUUGGAGAAUGCUUAAUGUGUAAGAGAAAAGAAGAUUGAAAGAAACUACGAUCAACCAACUCUCAUUUAAUGCUUCUGUGCCUUAACGACACCAAUUGUCUAUCUUUCUCAUUUUUAUUUAUUUUCUACACCAAUUUUCUAUGUAUACAAUUAUUAUUAUAUAAAUAAAUAAUUAUUUCCAAAUAUUUGUAGUCUUUUCCCAAUGUUCUUAUGAUUUCAUCGAUAAUGUUUGUUUUUAUUUUUCAUUUUAGUGUGAUAUUUAUUUAUAAAGUACGUUAAUACAAUACAAAUUUGUUAAAAUUCAAUAAUGAUAAAUUUGCAAACAAGCUCACAAUACAACAAAGUAUAUAAAGCUACAAAUAUGUCGAUAUUGAAGUUUUCAUAAUACUCGUGUCUUUGGAUCCGCAACAUGACAACUGUAAUCGACUGUAAUUUGUAAUUUGCACUAGAUGGAAGCUGAUAUGACAUUAUGAAACAAACAAACACUUGAACAAGACCAAAAAAACAAAAAAUAACACACAAAUACAACAGACAAAACAACGUCGCACUAAGAUGACUAAAUCACAACAAAAAGAAAACAAAACUCAAAUAUUUAAAUUAAGGGUUAAUUAAGUAAAUUGUCCCUAUAAAUAUUCAGAAUUUUAUUUUUAGUCCUAUAAAAAAAAUUCAUCAACACUUUUAGUCUUUGUCAAAAAUUUCCAUCAACAUUUUUUGUCUCUAAAAUGAUUAAGGAAAAUGUCAUAAGAACUAUAAAGUGUGAUUUUAUUUUGUAGAGAUUAAACACAAAACUGUGAAUAUUUAUAAGGACCAGAAACUUAAUUACCCCUUAAAUUGAAAAGGAAGAGAAAAACAUUUUAUACAGCGAUUUGGAGUUAAAAAGUGAUCUUGACGAAAAUAUUUAAUUAUUGCAUCUAAUACGUGGCGAUGUUCUAAAACUGCAAAUAAUAUUUAGUAUUUAUUUUACAAACCAGAUUCUCAAUUAAUUUCCUAAUUUGUAUACUUUGCAACAAAAAAAAAAAAAAAGAGUAAAUCGCUUUCAAAAUGGCACGGAUCGGAACGGUGACAACAUAGAAUAGAAGGUUUCUUUUUUGUUUUUUUGACAACUAAGCGUGAAACUAAUCUUAAACCAGCGUGAUUAAUAAAUGAGCCACAAAUUGGUCAUAGGUCACAUGAAAUGUGUUUGUUUACAAUUUGAUGGGUUUAUUUUCCAUCACUCAUUUUUCAAUGGUUAUAAGAUUGUUCUAAUUUUAACUUUUUCUUUUCAGCUUAGUUAAUAAAAGAUGUUUCUGAUGGCUUUCGUUGGCUGCAGUUUUCUCCACACGUUGUAUUAUUAUGACCAUACACCUUAAUACACUGCCCAUUUACUUUUCCACUUUUUUGAAUAUUAUAGUAUCUACUAGACUGCUAGUGUAUUUAAUUUAACGAAUGAUUUGGUGUCUACAAAUGUAGUAUUCAAUUUUUUUUAUUUCCAGUAUAGUGUAUGUGAUGAAAAUAUCUUAGUUGGUUGGUUGUAGUAGACUUUGCUAGGAAUGGGUUAUGGGACAACAUAAAUUUAUAUGCAUGUUGUAUUUAUUAUAUUGUUAUCACUCUUCCCAAUCCAAUGUGUACAAUUGGAUUAGCAUGGAGUACUGAGUACUGAUUUGCUAUUUGUAGAAUUCUUUAUUAAGAUUAUUGAUUUAAAAAAUAUUGUAAUAUAGAUGUUUGUAAAAGAAAAAAACAAAUGUUUGCUUAUUUUUUCGGUACAUGUAGUUCCGUAUGAAUAUGGUUUUGAUUCGGACCCUUUUUGGGAGGAUAUUUGAUUUCAAAAAAUCUAAAGUAGAUGGACCAAGCUCAUUCAUUACCCCCUUAAAUACGACUUACUUCAUCCGUUUUUAAAUAUAAGUAAAAUUGAUGUUUUAGAUUCAUUCAUAUUAUAAACCACAUACAUCAUUAAAUAAAUGAACCUAAAAAGUCAAUUUUGCUUAUAUUUAAAAACGGAAGGAGUACACAUUAAAAAGACAUUUACUAUGUUAAUGCACGAGUUUAAAUAUGUCCUUCUCCAUUUUUUUACAUUUCAUAUGUGUUGGCUCUUAUAAAAAUAUAAUAAUAAUAAUUUUUUUAAUAAGCUAAAAUGAAAUAUAUUACUACGAAUCUAAUCUCUCUCAACAUAAGGUGUGCUAGAAGGAAUUGGAUUAAAAAAUCCAUAUACAAAAUAAGUCAAACAUGAGAAAGGAGAGAAAAAAAAGAUGGAUCAAGAGUUAAGAGAUUGAUCCCAAUCGCAAAAGAGGGUAUUGCCACCAAUAACGAUAAUCAAAAGCAAAAGUAGGAUAUUUCCCCUUCAACCACCUAAACGUUAGUAGUUUUAUUUUCUCAAGAAGGUGAUUCAGAGAGAUCUCUUCAUGCUUGAAAAUUCUUCUAUUUCUCUCGUUCUAUAUGACCCAUACAAAUGAUAGCCAUAUUAUGUGCAAUAAUGACUAAUAUUUCUUUGAGGAUCCCCCAAGAUGACAAAACUGAAGAGAGUGUUAUGUAUGAAGGUGAGAAAAACACAAGAAGGAAGGGUUGAAUUGUGUUGGCUUUUUCUUCUAACUGAAAAUACAGAUCAGAAGCAGAUAGAGUUCUACUUCUGAAGAGAAGUUCAGAUUAAUUGCAGCAGAUAAAACAGAGAUAGAGAGAGAGAAGAAAGACACAAGCAAUUUAUACAGGUUCCUUCCACAAAUCGGAAAUCAGUCUUGUCCCCCUUGCACUUCCAAGGAAAGUUCACUAUGUAAUAUCUGAUUACAAUUGCUCACUACUAAACUUAGUAAGAGACUUCAAAUGCUCAAGUGCAACUGCAAGAGACUUCUUAUGCUCCUGAACACAAUCAAGAGACUUCUAUUGCUCAAACACAUCUGCAAGAGACUUCUUAAUUCAAACAGAAUUACAAGAAAAAUGUUUGAGGUUGAACACUUGAUAUACAAUCAGUGGUGUUCACAAUACAAAUUAGAUACAAACUCUAAAGACUCUAGAAUUUCUAAGAUAUGAGCUUUGAUAAGAAACUCUAAGUGAACUUUAAAGUGUAGAACAAUUUCAGCAUAAUUUUGGCUUACUUAAUUCAUGGUAUUGUUCUUAUGAAACUCUGAGUUUUCACUCUUUUAUAUAGAGGUGUGAAAGAGACGUUGAAUUGCCAGCACAUUCAAAAUAGAGUCGUUUGAAGCUUUUGAUCAAUCACCAAUGAUCAUUUGCCUAAUAUGGUUGUUGUCCUAUGAAGGAUCGAUUUCAAAUGUAUUCCCUUUGAGAAGAAACAUUGUUGCAGACAGAGCUGUUUUUCUUGUCUUGUAGCAGAGACAAAAACAGAGUAGUGGAGAUAGUGGUUGUACACUUCGUACAAACGUACUAUGUCAACGCUCUUUGAAGAAUUAGCAUCCAAUGCCUUCCAAAAUAGUCGUUGUAAUACUUUUCCAGUCUUCUUCAAUCAUAGACGAGUUUGAUUCCUUUAAACAGCUUUUGAAACUUUAAGUUGCAUCUCCUGAUGAACUGCAGCUUCUGGUGAUUCACAGCUUCUGAUGACGUCAUCACUUCAGGAGCAGUUUUCUUCAGACGCUUUAAGCUUCCCUUUUUGUUGAUGUAUUUGCUCUUUAUUUGUUCUUCCAAGACCUUUUUAAGAUGUCAAAUUUUUGUCUAUAGUCCUGUACACUUGAACAAAUAUUAGCAUAUCCAAUUGAAAUUUUUUAAUACUUUGUUAUCAUCAAAACUCUUAAGGGUUAUUUUUGCUAAACACAUUUUGUUCCAACAAUGUAAUGUGAGCUGGAAAAAUUGAGUCAAAGCCUAACCAAAGAGUAACCAUUGACCAGAUAGAACCAUAAAAGUCACAAUUGAGAAAGAGAUGAUCUGCGGUUUCAGCUGAACCACAUCCACAUCCACCCGAGCAAAUAUGAUUGUUGUUAUGAAGUACUCCACGCCUAAUUAGGUUGUCUGUAGUAGGAAGACAAUUAUGAAGCAAAUGCUAAGCAAAGAGGCAAAUUUUUAUAGGAACCGCACUAUGCCAAGUAAGACCGUCCGAAAUAAACGGGGAAUUAAUGUCGAUAAUAAUAAUAAUAAUAAUAAAAUGUAUUUUUUUAGAUUUCUUAAAAAAAAAAAAAAAGUAUUCUUUGAGAUUGUUCACUUAGAAUGAAAUGAGAAAAAAACUAACAGUGUUUUAUAAAUUUAUUUUUGCUAACCACUAUCUUAAUAAUUUUCAUAAAUAUCUUUAAAAAAAACAAUUUUUAUAAAUACGUAGGGAAUUAUAAUGAUUUAAAAGUGAUGAACAUAAUAUUAAUUUUUAGUGAAAUUGGAAUGAAAUAAUUAUUAUCAUUAUAUUAGAACAGCUUAUUUUAAAAUAAACUUUAUUAAAAUAACACUUAUUUUAAAAUAAACUUUAUUAAAAUAACACUUAUUUUAAACAGAGAUAUUACUUUUUUUAAUCAACUAAUUUCGACAUUAUAUUGAUAUUUUAUUCAACAAUGAAUAAAAGUUUGAUUAUUCAAUAUAUGUCAGUUUAAUGAUAAGGUAAUCAUUAAUAAACAUGAAACCAAGUAAAAUAAUCCAUGUUCUACAUCCAAUGAUAGAACUGCUGUCAACUUAAUUAUUGUAGGCACCUCCUUGUCAUAUAAUAGUUCAUCUCUUAAGGCUAACUCUUCAAUUAUAGAUUUUGUUGUCUUAAGAGCUUUCUCAGUUAUGAUGAACUAUGAGAAUGGCCCUUAAAUCAAAGAAGUUUGAUGGUAUCCUCCCAUAAUGCAUUGGUUAAAAUACAACGUUGAUGGAGCUUCUAAUGGCAAUCCGCAACCCUGGACCUUCAUAUUGUGGGGGAAUAUUCAGAAACUCAUGUUGAUUUUGUAUGAGUUUUUGCUUUCAACUUAGGCAUCUCGAACUCAUUAGUUGAUAAGCUUCAGGGAGCUAUGAUCGCAAUUGAAAUAGCAUCUCAAAAAGGGUGGAAUCAUCUUUGACUGAAAACGGACUCAGUUUUGGUUGCCUUAGCUUUCGAGUCAUUCAAAAUGGUUCCUUGGCAAUUAAAGAACAGGUGGGAAAAUUGCAUGAUCAAGGUUUCCUCAAUAAAUUUCUUUUGUAACUCGUGUAUAUAUUGAAGGAAACCAUUGUGUUGAUAUUUUGGUAAACAUUGGUCUUUCUUUACAAACUCAUGCUUGGUGGGAUCAUGUUCCUAGCCAAAUUGGUUAUGAGUUUAAUAGAAAUAGGCUAGGCAUGACUAACUUUAGAUUACACUAAUGUAUUGAGGGAUUCGGUAUUUGUCCCCCCUCUAUCUUUUUGCUUUAAUAUAUUUCUAUGCGGCUCGCUUCUUUGACAAGUCUCAUUUUCCUUACAAAAAAGUUCUACAUCCAAUGAUACGAUAAAGUACAAUGAAUACUUUGUCCAACAAAAAAUACACCACAAACGAGGGCUAAGACUAAUUCAACAAUGCCACUUCAAAAUGCAAUUUAGUGGGUUAUAAAACCAUUCAUAAUACAUGUAGAGGUUCAUAGAAAAAUUAGUCAAGAUUGUUUUUCACUUUUGUGGGUGUGCCAAUAAGUUGGAAGGAUAACAACUAAAAUCAGCGGUGAAGCUAGCUAUUUUUUCGUGAUGGAACCAAAACUAAAAGAAAUGAAAUAAAAUAUAUUUUAAUUAUUUUUUGACAAUUUUUAUUGCUAACUGGGCGCUCUUUAUAAUUGUUUAAAUUUUUAUUACCAAAGUGUAAAUUUUUCAUAUGGUUAAAAUAAGUACUAAAUUUAGACCGAUAAAAAAAUAUAAUGAUGAAGAAAUACAUUAUUAUAAAUACUUUUUUAAAGAUUUAUUUAAAAAAAAUACUGUUUUAAAGAUAAAACCCCUAAUACAAUGUGAAAGAAAAUAAAGGUAUAUAAUAAUUUAGUUGGAAUCUCAGGUGAUUGAUCUUUUACGACAAAAACCAAUAUCCAAAUAAAUAAUAAAAGUAACUUAAGAAUUAGAUUAUUGAAUGGAUCAUAAUGUGGUUGAUUUAGUUUUUAUACCACCACUUGUGUCCUCCACAAGCUUUAUAAGAUUUUUUGUUUUAUCUAUUUAUCCUGUAACAAUCAUUAUUCAUAUAGGAUAAAGUUUGAAAAUAUACACCGAAUCAUCCAUAAAAAACAAACAUAUAUAUUUUUGAAAAUAUACCAUGGAUCAUGACAGUAUGUUAAGAACAUGGCAUGACAUAAGUGGAUCCACCAAAUAUACGAAAAUAUCAAAAACACUUUCAGACAACAAAAUUCAAUUGAAUAUUAUUAUGGGUUAAUUAAGUUUUUAGUCCCUGUAAAUAUUCACAGUUUUGUUUUUAAUCCCUAUAAAAUAAAAUCACACUUUUUAGUCCCUGUGACAUUUUCCUUAAGCAUUUUAAGGACCAAAAAUGUUGAUGGAAAUUUUUAAAGGGACUAAAAAUGCUGACGGAAAAUUUUAUAGGGACUAAAAACACUAACGGAAAAUAUUGUAGAGACUAAAAAGUGUGAUUUAUUUUUAUAGGGACUAAAAACAAAACUGCAGAUAUUUAUAGGGAUGAAAAACUUAAUUAACCCUAUUAUUAUCGAAUAAUAAGAAUACUAUAUCCUUUUCUCACCUACCUGCUAUUCUUCUCUUCUCUUAUUAUUAUUACCUUCGUUCUUCACGCUCUCUAUUUUUCUCUCUCGAUCUCAAUCUCAAUCUCUUACCAUGGGUAAAGAAACUCUUACAUAACAUCAACAUCUAACUCUUUCGUUCUUAAUACCAGAUUCAAUUUAUCUAAAUUAAUCUAUAUAUUAUGAAAUAUGCUUAUUUUUUUUAUUUUUUUUUAUUUUCAGCAACUCAAAAUCCAUUCAACAACAUAUUGAAGACACUGGAAAAGCCAGGUGGUGGAGGUGAAUUUGGAAAAUACUAUAGUUUGCCAGCUCUCAACGAUUCCAGAAUCGGUGAGUCAUUUUAUUUAAUUAUCACCGGUGUUAAUGUGUCAGUGUCGUGUCUGGUGUCUGUGUCAGAAUGGUUGGAGUAAAAAUGAUGUAGAAAUUUGUGUUUGUGUUUUCAGAUGCACUUCCUUACUCAAUCAGGAUACUUUUGGAAUCUGCAAUUCGUAACUGUGAUGAGUUUCAAGUUAAGAGUGAUGAUGUUGAAAAGAUUAUUGAUUGGAAGAAUACUUCUCCUAAACAGGUGGAAAUUCCGUUCAAGCCGGCUAGAGUGCUUCUUCAGGUGAGUGGCGAGCGAAUAUGUUAAUGCCGGGAGUGGAUGAGUGUUUAGUGAUAUUGCUUUUGUGAAAUUCUUUGAUUGUUAGUUAGUUGUAUUGUGGUAUUCAUUGUGUUUUUAAUUUUGAUAUCAGGAUUUUACCGGGGUGCCUGCUGUUGUUGACCUUGCCUGCAUGCGAGAUGCGAUGAACAGGCUUGGUGGUGAUUCUAAUAAAAUUAACCCAUUGGUAAGACAGAUACAGAUGCUGCUUAUUGGUGAAUUUGAGAUUGAUAUUUGAUUAUUUUUGCGUCGAGCAUGCGUAAUAAAUUUAAAAUUUUGGUUACUUUCAGGUACCGGUGGAUCUUGUCAUUGAUCACUCUGUUCAGGUUGAUGUAGCAAGAUCAGAAAAUGCUGUUCAGGCAAAUAUGGAACUUGAAUUCCAGAGGAACAAGGAAAGAUUUGGUUUCCUCAAAUGGGGUUCAAAUGCGUUCAACAACAUGCUUGUUGUUCCUCCUGGAUCAGGAAUAGUCCAUCAGGUUAUUGCAUGAUUCAGUAACUAGUAAAACGCGUGUGUUAUAUCUGAGUUAUAAUUUUUACAUGUGAAGAAUUUUUUUCUUCUUUAUCCAGUAAUUCCAGUUUGUCUUCUGAAUCAAGAUUUGCAAAUUCAACUUUUGCAGGUCAAUUUAGAAUACCUUGGUAGAGUUGUGUUCAACACAAAUGGUGUGCUUUAUCCUGACAGCGUUGUUGGAACUGAUUCACACACAACUAUGAUUGAUGGCUUGGGUGUUGCUGGGUGGGGAGUUGGUGGAAUUGAAGCCGAAGCUGCAAUGCUUGGCCAGGUAAAAAUAACGUGCUACUGGCUUUUUCACUUUCUUUUUUGCUAAUUAGUAUAUUAUUAGAAAUGCAUUUUUUUGCUAAUUAGUAUAUUAUUUGAAAUGCAUGUGUAGUUUUGGCCAAUUGUUAACCUGUUAUUAGAAACAAUUAUUUUCCUUUGCAGCCCAUGAGCAUGGUCCUACCUGGCGUGGUUGGGUUCAAAUUAUUAGGCAAACUACGAAGUGGUGUCACAGCUACUGACUUGGUCUUGACUGUUACUCAAAUGCUAAGAAAGCAUGGGGUUGUUGGCAAGUUUGUAGAGUUUUAUGGUAAAUACUAAUUUAUACAACAUAUUUCUUCCUUUGUAGCAUCAUGUUCCUAGCUGAUUAAUCAAUCUUUCCUUCAAUAAUAAUCGUUUUAUAUUUCCUUUAUGCAGGGGAAGGCAUGAGUGAACUACCUUUGGCUGAUCGUGCCACCAUAGCAAACAUGUCUCCUGAGUAUGGUGCAACUAUGGGAUUCUUUCCUGUGGAUCAUGUCACUUUGCAAUAUUUGAAACUGACCGGCAGGAGUGAUGAAACUGUACGUUAACACUUGUUAGUUGUUUCGUGAUAUUUGAUUUUAUCUACAUGUUCUUACACGUCUUUCUUGCAGGUUUCUAUGAUAGAAUCCUAUUUACGAGCUAAUAAGAUGUUUGUGGACUACAAUGAGGUAUGCUAUGCAUGCAUAUAUUGUUUUGGGAUAGUUAUAGCUGAAAUGUCUGAAAGAACCUGAUCUGACUGAGAGUUUGCUUUGUUGCAUUGCAGCCCCAAGUGGAGAGAGUGUACUCGUCCUAUUUGGAGCUCAAUCUUGAAGAUGUUGAACCAUGUGUCUCAGGUCCAAAAAGGUAACGAGUCUUCAUGUUUUCCACUUAAAAUUAAGGAAAAUAAAUGUACCAUUACUUUUAUUUUGCUUCACUACACAUGCCUUCCCUUAUUAAGAUUAAAAUAUUGUUACAUACGAUUAUCUAGGUUUAAAAAAUUACAAAACCACCACCAACUUUGAAAUCUUAUUUAAGUUCAACAAGUCUGUCAAAAUUGUCUAUUCCUACCCUUGACCCUUGCUGGCUUGUUUAAUCAUAUAUUUUGAGGAAAAUGAAGACC